UUCUUCCUCACCCAAGCAGCAGAAACAUCCUUAACUGAGCUCCUCACUCACUCACUGCAGCUAGCCUCUUCUUCCUCAGUCGUCAGAAAGAAUGUCUUGCUGCGGCGGCAACUGCGGGUGCGGCGCCGGCUGCAAGUGCGGCAACGGCUGCGGCGGGUACUCAUCUCUCUGCUCUUGCGUGUAUCAUUUUGUUCCACAGUUCUUCUGUUAUGAGACGGCAGAGUAAUCUGAUUAACCAUGUGCAUAUGUAUGUAGGUGCAAGAUGUUCCCUGACGUUGAGGCCAGCGCCGGCGCCACGAUGACCACCGUGGUCAUGGCCACCGCCACCCACAAGGGGUAUGCAUAAUCGAUCGAUAUGAACUCACGCUUAAUCAUAUUUCACUGAAAUUAAGCAACAAGCUAGCCAAAUAGCAGAGGGAAUUAACUGACUGUUGCGUUUAAUUUGUGCAUAUGCAGGAGCUCUGGUGGGCUGGAGAUGGCCGGCGGGGAGGAGAGCGGCGGCUGCGACUGCACCACCUGCAAGUGCGGCACCGCCUGCGGCUGCUCCUGCUGCACCUGCAACUAGAGCCACACACCAGCGACCAUGAGGAAUGAGGAUCGAUCCAGGAUCUAGGACAACUGCACUGCAAGCAUGCACCCACCAUCGCCGCCCAGCUAGCUAGCUUACUAGCCAGUUAGCUGCUAAAUAAAAUAAAAUCUUCUGUCAAGUCACCAACUCGAUCACGACCGUAUUGUUCAUCCGACACGAUCCAUGUCCUUCCUCAUGCCUCGCUCGAUCAAGGCUGUACGUUUUAAUAUAUGUGUCUGAAUGUUGUUGAUCCACUCGUGCUGCCUGCUGCUGCCUCUGUUUCUGAAUGCUUGCUGCCUCAACUCGAUCCAGCUGACAGAAAACUGUGGACAUACCCUCAUACCCUCAUACGACAAAAGAGAACAGAACUGGGGAUUUUUUUUCCUCGAGAAACGCACACACUUAAAUGGCUCGAUUCUGUAUUAUGAAUGCAGCCAAACAGUUUUCGGUACAGUUUCUGAUGAAUGGUGACACUGAAGAUGAGCAAGUUGCUAGCUAAGCUAGGCAUGAUGCGAGUAGUACAAAAGCUGAGUCAGUGUGCAGAUAAGGACAUGGACAUGACGAACAUGGUGGUGAAGGCGACGUACGGCUUGAUCUAGCCCUGUAGCUUACCACACCUAGCUAGGCUAGAGGGAGGCAUCACAUAUGCUUAUGUAACCUAAUUGAACUCACUCCAAAAAAAAUAAAGAAAAAUGAAAGACUUAAAAGUUGCAGCUUUUCUAAGAAGAAGUGAGUUCAUCUGGUCUCGAAAUCCGGACUGGCUGACAGUAUGUCCAUGCAUGUGUAUGUUGGUGAAAACAUUGUUUCUUUAAGGCAAGAAAUCACCCUAGUUGCGUGAUCAUGAUAAACCUUGCUGGUAGUUUAAUUGAAAGAAUUGGCUUAAUUUUGUCCUGAAAGAAUAGACCGAAAAGGGAAAUGAACACAGCUGACGGGAAACCAGAGGCAUAUAUACCAUCGGGCAUAUGUACGAUCGAGCAUUAAGAAGCAGUUCUAAUCGUGUCUAGGAAUCCAGGUCCAUGGCGCACACGUACGUACGAUGUGGACCGAAUUCCCUCGAGCAUCAUCAUUAAUUAAUGGUGCUAGCAAAUUGGGUUCCAAAAAGCAGCUUUAAAAGGUACUGUUAAUUUUAACUUUUAAAAGGUGGUUUCAACUUUUAAAUAAAGCCUAGCUAUACAUAUGAGAGGGACCUCGAUCCCCAAUACUAUAUCAGAGACUGAUCAACACCAUAUAUACUUCUUUUUCACACAAAAAAACACACCAUAUAUACAAAAUACAUUAAUUAAAUGUUUGCUAAAAUAAUAGUAGCAGUACUAGGAAGUAGUCUAGGAUCAGGUAUAGCUAAUUAAGCCAGCGGUUUCAAAUAAUGCAGACGCAUGCAACAUGCCAUAGAACAUUAACGAAUUAUCAACUAGUAUUAGAUAUUCUUUCCGUUCCAUAAUUCUUGUCGAAAUAUUACAUGUAUCUACACACUUUUUAGGAAUAUAUACAUCGAUAUUUGGUCAAAUUAAAGACAAGAAUUAUGAAACGGAGAGAGUAUCAUGCUGCAUGGUAGUUGGAAGUGCAAGCCGAUUAAGAUCCGCAGGAUAUUCGUCUCAUUUUGCACACAUGCAUACUCAUAUGACUUUCUCCUUUUGUUUUCAGUUUUUUGGGGUUAAACCACUCGAUCGCCCAACCCUAUCGAUCCCAGUUGGUCAUUUAAUUAAUUAGCACAAGCUUGGAUUCGUUCAGAAAUUUAAAACACCAUUGCUAGCUAGGUAGUAGCUAUAAUUGAGCUAGCUUGGUAUAGCUAAAAUUCGUUUAGAAAUUUAAAACAACCAUGCAGGUCUUUGGCGAUGCUGUAAUGGUCGAUCUUAGGUAAUUAUUAAUCUAACCCUGGAACUUUUUUGAGCGUGCGAAAAUAGCAAGAGCCAAGGGAGAAAAGAUGGCUCCUCCCCCUCCCUCCCCGCCCGACGCGACCUGGCCGGCGAAUCCGGCCACCACCGCCCCUACCCCAAAUCCCAGCCCCCGUAGCCACCAGAUCUUCCCAUGGGCUGAUGCCUGCGAUGAGGAAGAGGAAGGCGAGUUCGUGCCGGACUCUUUGCCUCUGCUGCGGGCGCCGAAACCCCAGAUCCGGUCGGUUCUGGUGCGGCCCAAACCUGACUCGCCCCGGAUCUACGUGCCUCCGUAGCGGAGAUCCCCGCCUGCCGGCCCAGUGGAGGUUCCUUCCUUCAAUGCGAGUUCCCCGGACAGAUCUCCAAUUAUGGCGGUUUUGCCACCGCCUCCAACUGGUUCCCCUACUCGCGGACAACCCAGGCUCUUCAAUGCGAGCACUUACUCCGGCGCUGGGGCCGGCCGGGCCGGUAGGUGGAUUUUGCCCUCUCCUCCCCCCGGUUUGCCGCCCAGAGGUCAAGCUCGCAUUCACUCUAGCUCCGCUCCCCGCACCGCACGCGAACGCAAUUCAGGCUGGUCAUAGUGGGGACUAACUUAGAGUAGUAACAUGAAUAUGUUACUAGUCUAAGUUACUACCUCCAUAGUGAGUAGUGACUUAUGUGUGGUGUCAUGCAUUGUGUCAUUAAUUAUCUUGUAGACUCAUCUUGUCUUGAUUUGUGUGAUGUUAUGGUAACAUAUCUAGUUACCACCUCCCUCUCUUUUUUCAUUUAUUGACAUGCCAUGUCACCAAAAUGCUUAGUUGGUAUCUAUGUUACUACCCAAUUACUUGCACUAUGACCAGCCUCAUGCGGUGCCUCGUCUUGUCCCAUCGGAGACGGCGUGUCAAGACGGCGGCGAUUCAAGGCGUCAUGAUGACGGCUGGCAUUUGGUGCAGCGUCCUCACUGGUGGGGACACGAAGCCCGACUCCCGAGGGCCUGCCCGGCUGGCUUCCACGACGAGGGAGAAGGAGCGUUGCACUGCCCUCUUAAGAAGGAUGCGGGGCAGAUGCUUUUGUUGCCUCAGCUCUCACCACAAAAGCCUCCCUGUGCUACGAGCCUUGCCUCUGUUGGAGGUGCCACCGCCCGGGCCACGUCGAGGACGCUUGCCACGCCACGCGGGCCUCUCCUCCUCCUCCAGCCGCCCACCACCACGCCAGCGCGGUUACCGCCGCCCGCACCUACGCUACAGUGCUCAUCGCUGGCGACGGGGACUUUCAGGGACGUCUGGCCGAGGACCAGAGCGUCAUGGAGAUUACUCAAGACAUGGUGGUGGCGGAGCACUCCUUCAGCACGCACGGUAAACUUGUCACCAUCGGAGGCGACCGCCCGCUCACGGAUCCGUUCCCUACCGAGGAUUGAAACUCCUCAACAACUCUCUGAUUUCAUUGAGCUAUGGGGCAGCAUCUCCACGGUGGCCCUCUCCCUGCAGCGCGACACAAUCUCCUAGCGAUGGACGAGCUUGGGUACGUACACGGCGGCGAUGGCAUACAAGGCACAAUUCCUCGGAUCCACCCCUCCCUUCAGCUCCAACAAGCUUUGGACGGCCCAGGCAGAGCUGAAGUGCAAGUUCUUCGCUUGGACGGCGAUCCAUGGUAGGAUUCUGACCGCGGACAACUUGGCGCGCCGGCGAUGGGCUCACAACCGGAUCUACCCCCUUUGCAGAAUUUUUCUAGAAACGAUCCUCAGUGCUGGAGCUAGGACACCCCCCCCCCCCCCCCCCGCCACCAUCUCGGCGUCCGACUCCAUCAACGAGCUUUGGGACGGGGCCAUUAGUGGUCUCCCUAAGUGAGCUCAAGAAAUUUGAGCGGCCGGCUCAUCUACACUUGGUGGGAGGUUUGGAAGGAGCGCAACAUGAGGAUUUUCCGGGCCUCUUCCAUGACGGCGCUUCAGGUAGCAUAUCUAGUCUGGGAGGAAUACCAGAGUAGGCUCAGGGCGUGCUUGCUUAACCCGGGAGGAUAGGCCCUGUCUCGGGCGUUUUUUUCGAUUUUGCUUCCCCCUAUUCUCUCGGGGGACCUUCUUGGUCCCUCUACAGUGCCUUUCUUCUAAUCGAAUGACGGAGAUCGACUGUCCUUUCCCUAAAAGAAACCCUAGAAAUUUUCGGUUGAUAUGGAAGUGAGACGUAGGCAGAUGUUUAAAUAUUACUACAUGGGUGUGUGUAUAUACAAUCCAAGCAUAUGGAUGACGCAUUGCAAAUGUCGGCAUGGCAUACCGAGAAGGGGGUGAUAUCAGGUGUUUACCGCAAUCUUUCUGGCAUUAUUGUAACGAUCGAUAUCGAGCUUACAACGCUAUUGUUCGCUCUCUGGCACGGCUAACCAAACUUGUUAACUUUUCAUCAUACGCCAUUAGAUAAAAAAUGUAUGGUUCAUAUCAAACGCGGAAGUCGGUCUGACAAGCAUUUAAAAUCAAUGGCUAGCAUUUAUGUGCAAGAGUUUGUUUAAGUGGUCGGAUUUCCACAUUUGAUAUGGGCCGUGUUUUUUUAAUCUAAUUUUCUACGAUGAUAAAUUACAAGUUUGAACUGAAUGGGAGUUUUCACUGGAUAACGUUGCCCUCUACCAUAUAUGUAGUUAGGGGGUGGCCUGGAUUUUUAGAUUAAUCUAUAUAGCUAUAUAAUACGGUCCGAAAAUUAUGAAAAUAUAGCCCACAUCAUGUCCAAUGUUUAGAUUGAUAUCUUCUCGGGUAUGAGCCGUAUUUGUUUUUUUGUAUGAGUCAUAUACUCGUUGAUCCUGAUCGCACACUUUUCGACCCAAUUACUCGAACACAGACAUUUAGUUUCCCAAUUUCCAAACCUUAGAGUUCAAUGGCAGGACACUAGGCGGACGAUGGCAUGCGGAGGCAUUAGGUGGAGGCAGAGACAUCCAACAUAUAUUAGGAUGGUAUAUAUGUUGGGUUUUUUUUGUCAGUUGGACCACCCUGGCUCGAAAUCUUAGCUACGACACUGCCCUCUACCACAAUCGGCGCUCAAAGCAUACAUACCAUUACUACGGGGGCACUCCUAGGUACUAGACAACCGCACCACGCAUGAGCAGAUCCCCCGGUGUCAACACGUGUGUGUGUGGGAUGGAGGAUAUAGCCACAACCGCUGCCACGCGAUCUCCCAGCUAGCAAUGGCCCUAACCGGCCAGCGGUCUCCCGCUACCCAUGGCUAGCGCGCUAGCCUCAUGGCGCUACCCUGCCCAACCAUCACCACGGCUGGUGUUCCGCCGCCGCUCCGACCACCCUCUAAGCCCAGGGUACCGUACUCCGUCACCGCCUAACCGCGAAACCCUAAGUUUGGGUGUCGAAUUUACCUCAGAUUCAUCAUCACCUCCUUGCCUUCCUUGUCGUCAUCAUCAUCACUGCUCGAUCUCCGUCUCGCCCUCGUCAUUGUUGAUGUGCCUGGCCUCGGCAUUGCCAUCUCCAGCACACACCCGACGCACAAGCGCCAUCGCCGCCACAGCCGGCCAAGGUGUCGGAUUUCCACAUUUGAUCUGGGCCGUGUCUUUUUUAUCUAAUGGUCUACGUACGAUCAUAAUUUACAAGUUUGAACUGAAUGAGAGUUUUCACUCGCUAUGUUGCCCUCUACCAUUGAUGUAGCUAGGGGGUGGACCACCCUGGAUUUUUAGAUUAAUCUAUAUAGCUAUAUAAUUCAGUCCAAAAUUUAUGAAAACAUAUCCAAUGUUUAGAUUGGUAUCUUCUCGGGUGUGUGCCGUAUUUGUUUUUCUUUUGUAUGUGUCAUAUACUCGUUGAUCCUGAUCGCACACUUUUCGACCCAAUUACUCGUACACAGACGUUUAGAUUCCCAAUUUCCAAACCUUAAGAGUUCAAUGGCAGCACACAAGGCGGCCGAUGGCGUGCAGAGGCAUUAGGUGGAGGCAGAGACAUCCAACAUAUAUUAGGAUGGUAUAUAUAUGUGUGUGGUUUUUUUUGGUCAGUUGGACCACCCUGGCUCAAAAUCUUAGCUACGACAUUGCCCUCUACCACAAUCGGCGCUCAAAGCAUACAUACCAUUACUACAGGGCGCUCCUAGGUACUAGACAACCGCACCACGCAUGAGCAGAUCCCCUAAUGUCAGCAGGUGCGUGUGUGGGAUGGAGGAUAUAUAGCCACAUCCGCUGCCACGUGAUCCCCCAGCUAGCAUUGGCCCUAACCAGCAGCCUCCCGCCACCCACGGCCAGCACACUAGCCUCAUGGCGCUACCCUGCCCAACCGUCACCACGGCUGGUGUGCCACCGCCGCUCUGACCACCCUCUAAGCCCAGGGUACCGUACUCCGGCAGCACCUAACUGUGAAACCCUAAGUUAGGGUGUCGACUUUACCUCACCUUCACCAUCACCUCCUUCCCUUCCUUGUCGUUGUCGUCAUCACUGCUCGAUCUCCGCCUCACCCUCGUCAUUGUUGAUGUGCCUGGCCUCGGCAUUGCCAUCUCCAGCGCGCACAUACACCCGACGCACAGGCGCCAUCGCCGCCACAGCCGGCCGAGGUGUCGCCAUCUUUGGCUCGCUCGGUUGGGAGAGGGAUCAUGAGAGAAAGAAGGAAAAUGAGAGAGGAGAUAGGAACAACCCAGACACAUGUCGAAACGACCGUUCCGCGCGGAGCUCCACACCACGAAAGAAGUGAUUUGGAUUACCAUGGCCAGCCGUAGGCAGGCUACUAUUUUACUGUCACACGAGCAAGCCAGUGACUUUUUUGUACUCCUAAUAGACUAGAUCGCGUGGAGCUAAUUAGAUGCUGAUAUCCACUCUGAUGCUCCACUAAGUACUCUAUUAAGGAAAUCAAAAGUCAACUUGUAGCUUAAGACAAGGGACCCGAGAAAACAAAUCCAGGUAUCGAAAGAUAGAUCCUGGUCAACUCCAUAAACAAAUCGCCCUGACGCUAAAUGUCAACUCCUCCUCAUCAUCCUUGCCUUGGAUCGGAUUGCCUUGCGUUGCCGCCCCGUUCCCCCACCGUCUUCCCGGCGGCGCCGAUGCGCAUCCAGAUCGGCGACGACCAUGGGCAACCGCGCGACGAGGCUGGCCACCCCCUGCUUCGCGGCCGGCGGCGGGUCCGCCGAUGAUGUUGAUGGUGGCGCCAUUAAUGGCGGCGGCAUCGGCCACAUCCUGAGCUUCGACGGCGGAGAAGAUGGCCCGGCGGCUUUGUUGGGCGGCGCGACGAUCCAUGGCGUCCUGCUCCCCUCGAACCAGUCCACGCUGGGCGCCUCAUCCUCCUCCUCCGUUCUCAACGCCGACCACUUGUCCGGCGGCUCCUCGUCUUCCAACUCCUUCUCCUUCCGGACGCUCGACUACUGCCCGUCCCCGUCCUCGUCGUCGGGGACGACGAUGGCUUCGUCCGGAGUGCUGUCGCGGCAGGCCGCGCGCACCGACGAGCAGAUCCUCGCCGACCUCUACGCCACGCGCCGCCGCCGCCGGUGCCAGCAGCUCGAGGAGUCGGCCCCCAAGAAUCUCCUCCACCGCCUCCGCCGCGCCCUCGCCUCAUUGCCGCUGCUGCCGCGUGUCCCCUCCAAGAAGAAGACGCAGCAGCACGCCAUAGCGGACACCACCAACGGCAGCGGCGCGAUCGAGAGCAACGGAUGCGAUGAGGAAGACGACAGAAGGGCGCAGUGGGCGAGGGGGGAGGCAGGGGAGGACAGGGUGCACGUGGUGGUCUCCUCGUCGUCGGAGACGGAGAAGAAGGAGAUGUUCGUGGGCAUCUACGACGGCUUCAACGGCCCCGACGCCGCCGACUACCUCGCCGCCAACCUCUACGCCGCCAUCGACGAGCACACCACCUCCCUGAUGUCCGAGCGCGAGGUGCUCGACGGAAUGGCUCGCGCGCUGCGGCGGACGGAGGAGGCCUACUUCGCGGCCGCGGAGGCGCGGGCGGCGGAGUGCCCGGAGCUGGGGAUGGCGGGGUCGUGCGUGCUCGUCGUCCUCGUGCGCGGCGCCGACGUGUACGCCAUGAACGUCGGCGACAGCCGCGCCCUGCUCGCGCGCCGCGACCUCCCCGGCGCCGGCGCCAAGGAGAUCAGGCGGCGGUUCGACGGGGCGGCGGAUGGCGGCGGCGAUCUCGUCGCCGUGCAGCUCACCAUGGACCACAGCACCAGCGCUUACAAGGUGUUCGACCGAUCCAGCAAUAUCAAUUGCCAUUCUGAAUUAUACAAGGUGUUCUUGAUCUCCUGCUCGCUAAUAAAUUUGAUGCCUGAUUUGUUGGGAUUGCAGGAGGUGAGAAGGAUAAGGAGUGAGCACCUGGAUGAUCCUGCCUGCAUUGUCAAUGGCAGAGUGAAGGGCUCGCUGCAGGUCACAAGAGCGUUUGGAGCUGGCUACCUAAAAGAGGUCUGUGUUUCUCUGUCAACUGUUAACUGCCAAGUACACCUUUUCUUUUCUUUUGGAAAUGUCAAGUCACCUAACCUAACUAACCAGUAACCAUCUUUAACAGUGAUACAAGAUUGUGCACAUAUGUAACCAAAUCUAUUUUUGUUGAAUUAUGCACAUGUAAAAUGAUACUGCAUGGCUCAUCCCUGCCGAAAAAUAAGCAAAGGAACCUUGACUUCCGUGCACCGACCAGUUUCGAAACGACCGACAAUGAAACCUCUCGGUGCAAAAUCGUUAAUUAAUGACCUGUUCAACUUUGUUGUCGCAGCCCAGGUGGAACGAUGCUCUCUUGGAGGUUUUCCGGGUGGACUACGUCGGGUCCUCGCCGUACAUUACAUGCCGUCCGUUCCUCCGGCACCACCGUCUCAGGCCACGUGACAAGUUUCUCAUCCUCGCCUCCGACGGCCUCUUCGAGUACUUCACCAACGAGGAGGCGGUGGCGCAGGUGGAGGCGUUCACCGCAAGGUACCCCGACGAGGACCCCGCCAAGUACCUCAGCCACGAGAUCCUCCUCCGCGCAGCCAACCAAGCCGGUGAGCAUUCCAUGGGAGAGACACAACUCUUUUUCUAAAACAGCUUGCAAAACAUGUUUUUAUUUCUCACUGAAAACAAAAACAAAAAAACUUAUGAACUUUUUUUUAUGUGAUGAUGCAGGAAUGGAGUUCAAUGAGUUGUUGGAGGUGCAGCAUGGGGAUGACCGAAGGCGGUACCACGACGACGUCUCCGUCAUCAUCAUCUCCUUGGAUGGGAAGAUUUGGAGAUCUUAAUCCAGAUGGAUGGAUGGUUUGCAAAUUAAAUUUUAGUGGUAGCACACAGGAUGUAGUCUAAAGUUUUCCUUUACAAGAUUUUUUUUUCUUGAAUAUUUUUUUUACAGGGAUUAGUUCAAAGCUAAAUUUUGAUACUUGUACGCGAGCAGCGAACAAGCAUGGGAGGUUAUGAGAAUCUUUUGAAUUCUUGAUUGUCGGAUCCUUUUGUUUUGAAACAACGGUCCUCUCCAUCAUAUCAAUUUCCAUUACCGGAGCUACUCCCUCGGAUUCAUAAAAAAUGUUGUCCAUUCUGUAUUAAAUUAGUACAAAUUUUGUACUAAACGGGCGAUACUUUUAGUUAAUCGAAGGGAGUAUGAUUUAGUUAUAUAAAUUUCAAGCAGAAAAGAAAAUGACUCGGAUCAUAGUACACGCUUGGUUCUAAGAAGAGACCUCCGAGCAAUGGCAGAUUUGAAAUGGAACGCUCUUAAUCAAUUCCUCGCAAAAUUGAUUUAGAGCUUGCCAUACCCAAAAUGUCGUGACUACUGUACGCUCAACGGAAUAUUUACUUUACAUACACGAAGCUCGACCCAAUUUCUUUUUUUUUCUGCGAGCCGACUCUGUUCAAAUUUGCAUUAAGCAUUUCCAAACUUUUAAAACCUUACCAAAACAAAAAGGACACACAAAUCUUGGCAUUUUCGGGAGGUAUUUAUUUAGAUUUUUCACGAACUAAAUGGUCAAGGCGUACAGUACUAUAGUUUUUUUUUAAAGCAACAACAGCAACAAAAAUGCAACCUUUACCUCAGUGUGCCGACCACUCCCGUUGGAAUCGCUUCCACUCCGUGCGAGCAGAUCCGGCAUCCCGCCGCCCCAUGUCGCCGUCGUCGGCCCCGGCGAGCCGCCGCCACCUGCGCCUCUGGUGGCGCCGUCGCGGCCGUGCCGGCGCCGUCGCCGCCACCUUCGCCGCCGCGCUCCUCGCCGCGGGGCUCCUCCUCGCGCUCUCCUACUACGCCUCCGUCGUGGCGCCCCGCGCGGCCCCCUCCUCCUCCUCCUCCUCCUCCGGCGCUCUCGUCGAUCUCACUCUUCUCCGCCGAGCCGAGAAGAAGGGCGCGCGUGAGUCCUCUCUCAGCUCUCCGCCCCUCCCUCCUGUCGUCGCAGCGGGUUCCUGCUGCUGUCUAAGUCAGCUAGCAUCUGUCGUACUAGGUUCGUGUUUGAUUGGAAUUCUCAGAGUUUGAGCUUUUUUCUGCUGUGGAUGUGAUCUGCGAUGCAGUGUGCUUGGACGGAAGCGCGCCAGGGUACCAUCUGCAGAGAGGCUCUGGCAGUGGCUCUCAGAGCUGGCUCAUCCACCUGGAGGUAUGCGGCGUGUAAAAUUCUAUUCCCUCCGUUCCAUAUUUCUUGUCUCGAAUUUGCCCAAAAAUGGAUGUAUCUAUUCCUAAAAAGCGUCUAGAUACAUGUAAUAUUUCGACAAGAAUCAUGGAACGGAGGGAGUAGGUGCAUAUUAACCGUGUUUCCAUUUGAAACUUGAUGCUGAUCAACGCUUAGCUUAGCUUUGGAAAACUCAAACUUUCUGGAUUUGAAAUUUAGGCACCGGAGAUCACUGUCAGUUUCUUGUCUGCACAUUACAUUCUGGUUGCAGUAGUUUUUUGUUGUUGCCAACUUGCCAUUGGUUGUUCCAAACUCCCAAUGCUUCCAUUUUCCUGAAAUUUCUGUGUUCUCUGAGCUUCAGGGUGGAGGCUGGUGCAGAAAUUUGAAGUCAUGUGCUUCACGCCAGAAAUCAAUGUUGGGUUCUUCCCGGUACAUGGAACGUCAGGUUGAGUUUGCCGGGAUCUUGAGUGAUGACGAAGCUCAAAAUCCAGGUAUGUGAAUUUCUUGUUCAUAUAGAUCAAAUGGCGAUGCCCAGCUUUGCACGAAGGCUAAACAUUUCCUCUUUAUAUCAGUUGUCAUUUACCAGUGAGCAAAUUUGCGCUGCACCUAAUUUGUUUAUGUCUAAUUAUUACUCAAAAGUUCCGGCAUGAUCACAAUCCCAAAGUCGUAUUUGCAGCAUCACCAAGUCCUUACUGACUUCCUAUCGGUUUUUGAAUUUUUAUUUUGCAUCAUAAUCAAUCAGAUUAUAUUUCAUUCGUUUGUUUCUUUUAACAGAAAUACCAUACUACGUAGCAGUAUGCUCCUUCAUAUCAUUUGUGUUGGAAUUUUUGGCUAUUUGUUACUCGAAUCAUCUAUUAUUUGCAUACCAUAUUCAAAGAGAGGCAUCGAUAUUAUUUUGUAGUAUUCUAGUUAUGCAUUUGAACUGGUCUGAUUCAUUUGACAGUAUUCCAAUUGCCCAUUUGAACCGAUGAGCUUUGAUUCAAUAUCUCAGUGCAAAUAUUCCACCCCUUAUUCCCUUUGCUUCGCCAGUAAAGUGGCCAUCUUUCGGUACAGUAUUGCAACACUAUUUUCAGUUAAUUGUAAUCCGGAGGUUCUCAUUGAGCAUCUAUUUUGAUGUGCAGAUUUUUAUGACUGGAAUAAAGUGAAGAUAAGGUAUUGCGACGGGGCAUCAUUUUCUGGGAACGUCAAAGAUGAGUUUCAGGUCUUGUUUGCCUAUUUACAACAGAUGUUUUAAUCACUCAGCAGGUAUUCUGAUUUCUGGGUACUCUGUGAUUUGUUACAGAACGGCACAAAAUUCUUUUUCAGAGGCCAGCGUAUCUGGAAAGCAGUUAUGGAUGAACUUCUACUGAAGGGGCUCAAACAUGCUAAACAGGUCAUUCUCGCAAGCACAACCCUGCUUUUUUAUUUCGUGUGGACGCAUGAUUCAAAUGUAUGAAUCAAUCUAUAAGGAUGUAACUCUGAUUCUUGUUCUCCAUGGAUGCAUGUGUUUUGAGUUUAGGUUAACUUGAUAAAAAUAUGGAAGGUUGGAUUUUGAUAAAUUUGGGUGUUUUAUUGGAUAAUCUGUUAAAUAUUGUUUUACUGGAAAAUACAAUUUUAGUCUGAUUUGUGGUAUUGGUAAAUAAAUAAAACAGAUCAACUACAUGUCAAUGGCAAUAACCUUGUUUUACUUUUGUGUUCACCGAUGUGUUCUGUUCAUUCUUUAUACCUGUUAGUGAUCUAUUGUAGGGACUAUUUGAAUAUCUCAACCCAUCUUUCUCACCACAUCAUAUGUAUUUGCAUGCCUACAAAAUGACUGGAUAUGAUUCAUAGCAGUAUAUACUGAUUUGAUACACCCAUUACUUUGUCUUUGCCCAUAAGCAACUUGACUCUUGUAUUGAUGCUAUGAUGCUGAUACGCUAUUUCCAGCCUUCAGGCUUUUCUAACAGGAUGCUCUGCUGGUGGGUUAGCCACUUACAUUCACUGUGAUGAUUUUCGUGCACUGCUGCCAAAAGAUUCUAGGGUUAAGUGUCUUGCGGAUGGUGGUUUUUUCCUUGAUGUGUAUGUUUUCAGACCACCUUUGACUGCUUUGAAUGCAAUCUGCCUCCCCAAGCCUUCUUUAUUCUUUAUUUUUAUGUAAGUUCUUCACAUGCAUGAACAAAGUAACUAGUCAAUGUCCUGACUAAGCCUACAAAAAUACUUGCACUCCAAAUAAUCAGUGUACAAAAAUUGAGCAUAUGAACUCUGAGAUCUUAAGCUAAAGCAUGACAAAGUUAAAACUGUUAAGUGAGAGGACAUAUUGUUCAUUAGUUCUUAAAUAGUUGAAUCAUCACUUGAUCAGCCAGAUUGGUGCAUGGUCCCAUUUGUGCCUUUUCAGAUACUAGUUCAUUUCAAGGCAUUGUCCCAUCAGCAAGCAGAAAUGUUAACUUGUAGGUUUUGUCAUUGGUGAGUGAGGGCACAUCUGCAGUAUCCUAUUCUCCUUGUGACAUUACUCCCUUUUAUGUCAUAACAGAAAACUUUAUAAAACAGAAAAUUGUGCUGCUUUGCUGUUGUCCAACUUAUGUUAUUUCCUUCAUUACAGAGAAGACAUUUCCAAGCAAAGAACCUUGCGGGCUUUCUAUAGUGAAGUUGUCCGUCUUCAGGUCCCUUUCCAAGUUCCUUCACUGCCUCCCAACUAACGACAUUGCAAUUAUCUGCCUUGAAAAUCUCCAUUUCUAAUAUUCAAAUUUUCUUUUUCUGAAUGCUUUGUUUCAGGAUCUCAAGAGGAGGUUUUUGCACUGCAGUUCAAGCGAGGAUCCAGGCCAGGUUAGUCUCUGCAUUCCCAACUAACGACAUUGCAAUUAUCUGCGACAUUUGUAUCAUUAUUUUACCACCGAGAUUAGGUUAUGCUAAGUACCAUCAUUAAAUGUAUGCCAGUGCUUCUUUCCACGUGAAGUUGUUAAAGCCAUCCAUACACCAGUAUUUGUUCUUAAUCCAGCAUAUGACGCCUGGCAGGUAUUCUCAACUGUUCCAUCAGAGACGUUCUAAUGUUGUGUUGAAAUAUCAAUCGACAAGGUAAUUUUGAAUUUUCAUUCCAGGUACAACAUGUGUUGGCACCAGAAGCAUCGGACCCUAAACAUUCAUGGUUAGACUGUAGGUUGGAUAUUAGCAAGUGCAAUCCUAACCAACUUAAAAUUCUCCAAGGUCGAUUCACCUUGCAUCUUACUCUAUGAUUAAUUUGCCUAUCUUUCAGGAUCUUUUUUCAUGUUUUUCUAUGUCAAAUGAAAUCUUUGCAGGUUUUAGGGAAGAACUACAUGUUGCUAUGAGUGAACUCAAGCAGAAAAAAGACUGGGGUAUUUUUAUUGACUCCUGCUUUGUACACUGUCAGUCGCUAAACUCCUUGACAUGGCACUCUCCGUCUUCUCCUAGAGUCAGUAACAAGGUACCAUUUCUAUCCUCCAUAGGGAUUAAAAAAAUGAACAGACAAAAAGUGCAACUGCACUAUAAGAAACAUUAUGUUUGUGUUGCACGGCCUUCUGCCCAAUUAUGUUGAUCAUAAGCUGACGCGGCGUUUCGGAGUUUGGCGAUCUGGCUUUAAAUUACCAGGAACAAGAAUUAGGUUUCCUGUCACUAAUAAGAUGAACAUUUCAAUGAUGAUUCACGAUCUAUAGAGAUUUGUUUUUGAAUAUCUUCAUUUUUAAAUGAGUAUAUCAGCCCUUCAUUAUGUCUGUAUGUUCUAGAUUGCACCCAUAUUGCCUGAACUUAGUUCAUACUUUCUGCAUAUAAUAUCUAGAAAAACUGGUUAGGAUGGUGAAGAUAUUAGAUUUUGCUCAAUCUAUUUUGGUUCAUUCCUGCACAACUAUCAUUUCAAUUCUAAGAAUAAUUCUGGUGAACAACAGACCAUCGCAGAAGCAGUAGGGGACUGGUUCUUUGACAGGAGAGAGGUGAAGGAGCUAGAUUGUGAAUAUCCCUGCAACCCGACGUGCCACAACCUGGUUUUUGAUAAGCCUUUCAAGGGAUGAAGUUUCUUUCAUUUUUAUCCUUUUUGUUCGUGGCAUUGUAAAUUUAGCAAAUUUUUUAUAGAAAUCUAUAAACUUAGUUGAAGUGAGGGAGACUGCAUCCGCAAGUACCUCAGCUAGUUGUGAAACUUCAGAUGUGGUACUGCUAGUUUUGUGGUCUCUGAAGAAACACAAGAAUUCAGUAGUGAAUUCUUCGUUUUGUAAACGUGAAUGCGAUAUGAAAGAAUCCCUCUUUGAUGCCAUGCGCUUUCUUGUCUAACUGGAAGUUGUUGCUUCCAAGUAUUCAAGUCCAGUCCAGAAUGUGCAUUUGAUGUGAACCUGAAUUCUUUGUGCCCUUUCGACAGUUUCUAUUGUUACAUUUCGGAAUUCGAAUUUGAAUGGAUUCAAAACAUGAAAGGAAUCAAGAUGAAAUUUCGUCCAAAUUUGCACGGGGCCCAGCUGCCAGUGGCGUGUGUCUGUGUGGAGAAAAUAGGAGGAAUGCGCUUUUAUGACUAGAAAGCGUAAACACACCAAAGUACGCUUUGCUCAAUCGUCCCCAAAAUCAGGGAAUCCCCUCCGUUCGCUCGCUCGUGCUCCUGCGAUUCGAUGAUGGAUGCUCUGGUGGCGACUCCCGUGCAGAUUCGCCGCCUCGCCGGCGCGUGUUCGAGGCGUCGAGGUGGCGGCGGGGCGAGGUGCGAUGCGGUGUGGGUCGGCAUCCCGGCCGUCGAUUACAGCGGCCGACGCACAAGACGGUGGCCGCGGCGGCGGCGGCAUCGUCCACGGCAGCUUCGGCAAAGAGAGGUCACUUCCCCUCCCCGGCAAGGCGUGCCACUGAAGGCCAAUGGAGAUGCGUUACCUGACCUCCUGCAAGAAGCGUGCCCCCAGGUUCAUAUAAGUUUAGUACAGCAUCAAAUGCUUCACUCGGCAACUAACUUUAGAAUCACUUUUGCUUUCCACCAUAGGCUAGUAUCGAAUGUGAAGGAGCUCCUUUCAUUGAAGCUAGAACCAGAUGCUUGUUACUUUUCAUUGAAGCUAAAGCCAAAAGCCAAAAGAGGGCAACUGUGGUUGGCUGCGUGCACACACCGAAGCUGCUUCAAUCGCAAACUCGCAAACCAGAGCUUGAGAGCCAGGAGAGCACAUGGAGGCGACGGUGGUGAGCCUGGGCAAGGCCGUGCUGGAUGGAGCCCUGGGAUACGCUAGGUCCAAGGCCGCGGAGGAGGUUGCAUUGCAGCUCGGCAUUGAGGAUGACGUCACCUUCAUUGUUGACGAGCUCGAGAUGAUGCAGUCCUUUCUGAUGUCUGCAGAUGAAGAACGUGGCCAGCACAAGGUGCUUGCCACCUGGGUGAAGCAGGUACGUGACCUUGCCUACAACGCCGAGGACAGCCUCAUGGACUUCUCGCUCCUCUCAGAGAAGAAGCGAUCUUGGUGGUGCAGCCCGCGAACUGCCGGGGAGCGCCGUCGCAUCGCCAUGGAGAUGAAGAAGCUGAGGACCAUGGUCGAGGAUGUGAGCAACAGGAACCUGCGCUACCGCCUGAUCAAGGAAAGUUGUGGCUCCAAGCCUUCUGCAGCAGAGGAGCAGGCCAGUGUUGCCACUGCGGCAAUGUUUGGCAUCAACGAAGCAAGGCUUGCUGACCUGGAGAAGGAAAAAUCAGAGAUGGACCUCCACCAGUUGAUCACCAGUGAGGAGGAGGAACUUAGGGUGAUUGCUGUGUGGGGAACAAGUGGUGAUCUUGGGAAGACAUCUGCUAUCCAGCAGGUCUAUGAUGAACCAAAUGUGUUUAGAAACUUUGGAUUCCAUGCUUGGGUUAGGUUGAGUCAUCCUUUCAAUCCAAAAGAAUUCAUCUACAGCAUUGUGAGGCAGUUUUAUGAAAAAAAUCCUGAAAAACUUGGAGAGACAAAGAACAUGGAUUCUUUCGUGCAUCCAUUGAAUCCACAGGAGUUACUCCGCAACUUGGGCAGUUCUAUGAAAAUCACCUUGAGAAACAUGGAGAGACUCAGAAAAGAAAAAACACAGGAGUUAAUGUUCUGAUGAAGAUGGAGAACAUGAGCGAAAGUGAAAUCGUUGAUGUGUUUGACACACUAGUGAGUGACAAUAGUUACCUAAUCGUGAUUGAUGACCUCUCGACGAUAGUGGAAUGGUCUUGCAUAAAUUUUUUCUUCCCCGGCAACAAGAAACGAAGCAGAAUCAUAGUCUGUACACAGCAAGUUGAAGUUGCAAGCUUGUGCGUGGAGAAACCUUACCAAGUGUCUGCGUUCAACCAGUUGUCAUCCGAUCAAACUCUUUAUCUGUUCCACCACAAGGUAAAUUGUUACUAUCUACUAUAAUUCCGUGGUUACUCGUUAGUAUGUUUGAUUCUUUCCUGUAUGGAUGGCUCAUUCUUCUAUUUGAUUUCCGUUUAAUCGAACACCCCCCUUAACAAAGUCUACAGAUGAAGAACUUUAGUUGAAUUGGAGGUUGGAAGAUAUACAUAAGACUUACAGAAGUGGUGAUGCAGAUUUGCCCCUACAUCUUAACUUAUGGCAAAAUGAUGGACAUGUUUCCUAGUAAUGCUAAACAUGAAUGAAGCAGCCUUUUAAAACCUCUUGCUGUGUGCAACUGAAACUUUAAACAUAAAGAAUAUUUAAAUUGCAUAGAGCUAAGCGCUCAUGUUACUUAUUUUGUCAACUGUGUAAUGGCAGAGUUUACCUAAUAUAUUGACUGGCUUACAAUUUUGCAUAGUAAUUCCAUUAUGUUUUUAAGCAAACUUUGUAGUUGUCCUGGCACUAGUUUUACAUAAUUUUACAUUACCAUUUCUAGUACCUCUCAGCUCAUGCUAAAUGUGAAAUAUGUAGAGUACAAGUACAUAAAUUGCUCAACUUUUUUCCCCCCUCAGUUAUCUUCUUUAUGUUCAGGUUAGACUCGUGUCAAGUUCUGUUGUGCCUAUCUCUGACUCCAUCAAAGUUACAACUAUCGAGAACGAUCGACCCGUUCCCACCAAUGAAAUACAGGGGGAAAAUCAAGAACUUAAGGAUGCAGGUAGAGGUAAAGUUUCUACCUCAACUGAUGCAAAGAAGUUCCAUCGAAGCAGGACAAUGACAGUAACCGAUGAAGUGCUCACUGGGCGAAGAACAGAGAAAUCUAAAGUGAUUGAAUUAAUUUGUCAGACCGAGGGCAAGGAAGACCAUAAGGUGAUUUCUGUGUGGGGAAUGGGAGGUCUUGGAAAAACCACUCUUGUCAGGAGCAUCUAUGGAAGCCAACAACUUAGUGGCUGGAAGAGGGCUUGGGCCACUGCAUUGCGUCCAUUCAACCCUGAAGUGCUCAUCUGAAGCUUAGCUUUGCAACUACAAAAAGAUGUUCAGGAAGAUCCUGCUGGAGCAGCGGUGACUGGUAAACAGAAGGAAAAUAUAGCAGUGAUGAAACUUCAAGAGUUGAAGGAGUAGUUAAAUCGACUUCUAAAUACACAGAGGUGCCUCAUUGUUCUUGAUGAUAUAUCCUCCACUGCAGAAUGGGAUUUGGUAGAAAAUUGCUUGAAAAAUGCUAGACGGGUCAUAGUCACCACGAGGGAGAAAAAUAUUGCCAAACACUGUUCAAGUGAAUACAAGAAUAUGUACAGUCUUGAAGGUCUCAAAGAUGAUGAUGCACUUGAGCUCUUUAAAAGAAAGGUACGUUUAUAACUGUUAUUCUUUCUUCCCUUCCAUACGAGUUUUGCUUCAUGUAAUAAUAUAUUCAGUAAGUUUUCCGUUAACUUAGAUUUUAUAAGUUUAAAAGCUGAUAUGUUCUUGGAAAAUAAAAAUAAAGCGUGAUCGUCAAUUGUCCCACUACAUCCCAAAUAGAUCAGAUAAUCCUGUACUAUUUCAUAGACCUGACAUUUUGAGGCCACACUUUGGUAGCCUCAUUUGCCGCCGCAAUUCUGCACUAUUUCAUAGAUCACACAAUUCUGUACUAUUUCAUAGACCUGACAUUUUGAGACCUGACCAGGAGGUCUCAAAGUUAAUUUGGAACUUUUACAACCAAUCUCAGUCUAGCUACUAGUGAACAUACUGUGAGCAACAACUAGGAUUAAAAAAACGCUUGGUACCAAGAUUGCUCGUUGAACAAAUGUACCCCCUCCCCACCAUCUCCAUUUGUAUGAAAGAAACAACUGAAAAUACCAAGGACACAAAUGCUUAGUGAACCUUGUAUACGCGGCGAAGGAUAAAUGCCAUUUUCAAUGGAAAACUUAUCGUCUUUUUUUCUAGGUCAGUUUGAGUUAAAAAUUAAGGCGACAUGACACUCCAUAGAAUACAAAAUCAAUCUAUUCUAAAAUUGUUCUAUUAUGCCCAAGGUGCGUAUCACUUUCUCUGCUAGUCGUAUGCCAUCUGUGGCACGGCCGCGGGCCCACGGCCCAUGCACUGUCCAAGGCAGCCUCCAUUCCUCGAGCCAUGUGCGACCGAGACGUGCCACCCUUCUCAUGCACAUGCAUGUGGGCUUGGUCUGCUACAUGGCUCGUCAUGACAAAAACUUUAGCAGGACCUACCUUGUUACGUAGAACAUGGUACCCACUGCGUGUCUGCACCAGACCACGCCUCCACAACAUCAUGGGGUGCACCCACGCCACGCUACCACCAAAGGGAAGGGACCGCCAUCAUUUUGCACUGCCAGUCCGCUGGCCCGUGUGGUGCAAAGUGUGCCUGCGUCGAGCUGCUAAUGUUUUGUGCGCCAAAUCAGGGCAGGUGGAACAUGAGUGUGUGUUAUACAUUUACGUGUCAUACAUUUUAACACGGUUCCCUCAUAUACACUGUAUGCACGAGUGUCCUAUAUCGUAUGAGUAUGUGUAUAUCUUUUGUAAAAAUAAUAUGUAUGCCUUACGUGAUAAGGUGAUAAGUUAUGUCGAUGUUUAAAAAUGUGUAUGCAAUGUAUGUGUACCGUAUGAAAAAGACAGUACUGUCUUUGCAAAUUAAUCUCAGUAUUUUGCCUUUUUCUUCACAGUGCAAUGUAACAUAUUUUAUGUUGUAGACUUGUAGUACAGAUUUUUCGACAGGUACCAAAACUGAAAUGGGUGGAUAUAUAAUAUAUCAAUUCCCUGACAACUCUAGAAAAAACAUAUGCGUUGCAGGUAUUCAAGGACAACAGUGAAAACAUUAAUUUAGUCCCUGAUAUGAUGAAGCAAGCAAGGCUUGUCCUAAAGAAAUGUGAUGGACUUCCCCUUGCAAUAUCGACUAUAGGUGGUUUUCUUGCCAGCAGGCCGAAAACUGUUGUUGAAUGGAGGAAGAUGAAUGAUCAUAUUAGCUCCGAACUGGAGAUCAAUCCUGAACUUAGGACAAUUGAGUCAGUUCUUAUGAGGAGCUACAAUGGUUUGCCAUACCAACUGAAGUCUGCUUUCUUAUAUCUGUCCAUAUUUCCAGAAGACCACAAAAUUAGGUGGGAUCGCUUGGUGAGGCGGUGGAUCGCAAAGGGUUACUCAAGGGAUAUGCAUGGCAUGACUGCAGAGGAACUUGGUCGUAAGUACUUUGAUGAACUUUUGGAUAGGAGUAUGAUCCUGCCAGGGGAAGAUGUAAAUCAUUACAAUGGACAAAUCAAUUCUUGCCAACUUCACGAUAUCAUCCGUGAGAUAUGCAUCUCAAAGGCGAGGGAGGAAAACCUUGUUUUGACACUGGAGGAAGGGUUUUGUUUGAGCAGUACACAAGGUGCAAUACGACAUCUUGUCAUAGGCAGCAACUGGAAAAGGGAUAAGGACGUGUUGGAGAGCUUGCUGGACUUGUCGCAUGUACGGUCAUUGACUGUGUUUGGAGAGUGGAGACCGUUUUUUCCUCUCCGAUAAGGUGAGGUUCCUCCGAGUGCUCGAUUUGGAAAAUACGGUAGGGUUAAGAGAUCAUCACCUGGAUCAAAUCGGGCAGCUCCGUCACCUCAUGUACUUCUCUUUACGAGGAUGUAUGAACAUUUACUGCCUGCCUGAUUCUUUGGGGAAUUUGAGGCACCUCCAAACACUAGAUGUUAGAGGUACACGUAUAUUUGAGUUGCCAGCAACAAUCACCAAGCUUCUUAAGCUACAGCACAUUCGCACAACUAAAUGUUUGCGAAUAGCCGGCAAUGUCAAAGGAGACGAUGACAUAUUUCAUAAUUACACAUAUCGUGCUGGUGUUUCUCUGUUGAACAACUUGUCGGGCAAGUCUUGUUUACUUUUCCUGUAUACGAGUCUUUAUUUCUUGAGACCACAAGUUUUAGAUGCUGAUAUGGACAUGCAUGAUAUAAUCAACCUAUUCCGGUUUACCAUGUUGUGUCUAGCAGAGACUGGUGUUUUCUGGGAUGAUCGGGUGUAUGGUGUUAAAGUUCAUGUAGGGAUUGGUAAGCUGAAGGCCCUGCAGACACUGGGUGUUGUCAACAUUGCACGGGGCAAUGGAAAGGCCCUUCUGAAAGAGUUGGGAGGGCUCACUCAGCUGAGUAAGCUUGGAGUGGCUUUUGUUAGCGACAAAAACAGCAAGGAGUUGUGGUCUGCCCUUUCUGGUCACAAUCAACUUCGAUCUCUGUCAGUGCAAGGUGGGUCCUAUGAGGACGUGUUGGAUGGUAGUUUGGGUGAGGGUUUGUGGCCGCCAAGCUGCCUGGAGAGCCUCAAGCUGUGUGGCAAGCUAGUCAGAGUGACCUCAUGGAUCCAUCAGCUUCAGAAUCUCUCCAAGUUGACGCUAGAGUUUUCCAGUUUAAAGCAAGAUGAUGCCAUACAAGCCCUUGGGGCGCUACCAAAUCUUGCAGUGCUACGCCUGAAGCAGUGGUCGUUCAAUGGGAAGCAGCUCCAUUUCCAAGGCCCAUCUUUCCCAAGCCUCGCGGUGCUGGAGUUUUAUGGAUUAUUUAACCUUGAAUCAGUGUUGUUUGAAGAAGAGGCAAUGCCUAGGCUGGAGCUGCUGCAAGUUGAUUGGUGCAGGGAGCUGAAGGAAAUCUCUGGGCUGGCAGUCCUCACAAACCUCAGGGAAAUUCGGCUUGGUGAUUAUGUUACCGAUGAAUUGAGGGAAGAGGUGAAGAGUCAGGUAGCGGAGCAUCUGAAGCACGUCAGACUGAAUCUCUCGUGAACUCCCUGUAUAUGUGUGUGUAUCGGUCAUCUUCCCUUGUUUUAUACGGUAUUGAUUUCGUCAAUACGGCAUUUUCUUUAUGUUCAGGUUAUACCCGUGUCAAGUUCUGUUGUGCCUAUCUCUGACUCCAUCAAAGUUACAACUAUCGAGAACGAUCGACCCGUUCCCACCAAUGAAAUACAGGAGGAAAAUCAAGACCCUAAGUAUGCCGGUGGAGGUAAAGUUUCUACCUCAACUGAUGGAAAGAAGUUCCAUCGAAGCAGGACAAUGAUAGUAACCGAUGAAGUGCUCACUGGGCGAGGAACAUAGAAAUAUAAAGUGAUUGAAUUAAUUUGUCAGACCGAGGGCAAGGAAGACCAUAAGGUGAUUUCUGUGUGGGGAAUGGGAGGUCUUGGAAAAACCACUCUUGUCUGGAGCAUCUAUGGAAGCCAACACCUUAGUGGCUGGAAGAGGGCUUGGCCACUGCAUUGCGUCCAUUCAACCCUGAAGUGCUCAUCCGAAGCUUAGCUUUGCAACUACAAAAAGAUGUUCAGGAAGAUCCUGCUGGAGCAGCAGUGACUGGUAAACAGAAGGAAAAUAUAGCAGUGAUGAAACUUCAAGAGUUGAACGAGGAGUUAAAUUGACUUCUAAAUACACAGAAGUGCCUCAUUGUUCUUGAUGAUAUAUCAUCCACUGCAGAGUGGGAUUUGGUAAAAAAAAAUGCUUGAAAAAUGCUAGACGGGUCAUAGUCACAACGAGGGAGAAAAAUAUUACCAAACGCUGUUCAAGUGAAUACAAGAAUAUGUACAGUCUUGAAGGUCUCAAAGAUGAUGAUGCACUUGAGCUCUUUAAAAGAAAGGUGCUUCUGUAACUUUUAUUCUUUUCCGCCCUUCCAUACGAGUUUUUUUUCAUAUGAUAAUAUAUUCGUUAAGUUUUCCGUUAACUCGGAUUUUAUAAGUUUAAAAGCUGAUAUGUUCUUGGAAAAUAAAGUAUGAACGUCAAUAGUCUUGUGCAAUAGGAGUAAAUAUUAGAGCUAAGAAACUCCCCACUGCAUUCCAACUAUGUCACAGACCUGACAUUUUGAGGCCCUGGGUCUCGAAGUUAAUUUGGAACUUUUACAACCAACCUCAGUCUAGCUACUAGUGAACAUACUGUGAGAAACAUCUAGGAUUUUAAUAAAAAAUGCUUGGUGCCAAAUUGCUCAUUGAAUAAAUUUACCCCCUCCCAAAACAUGCAAAGCAGCGACCAUCCCUCGCCUCGAGACAUGCCGCACUUCAAAUGCACGCCCAUGUGGGCUUGGCCUGCUACAUGGCUUGUCAUGACAAAAACUUUAGUGGGACUUGUCUCGUUACGUAGAACAUGGUAUACACUGCGCCAAAUCACGCCUCCGCAACAUCAUGGAUGCGCUGACAAGCCGCCACCAACGGAAAGGGACCGCUGCUGCUUUGCACCGCCUGGCCGCUGGCCUGUGUGGUGCCAAGUUUGCCAUGUCAAGAUGCUAAUGUUUUGUGUACCAAAUCAGGGUACGCGGAACAGGGUGGUGUUAUACAUUUAUGUGUCAUACAAUUUUACACUUUUUCUCAUGUACACUGUACUUAUUAUGUAUGAGUAUGCAUAUAUUGUUUGUAAAAAUGAUCUGUUUGCCUUUCGUGAUAACAUGAUAAGUCACGUCUGAGUUUAAAAAUGUGUAUGCAAUGUAUGUGUACUGUAUGAAAAAGAAAGAAACAUUCUUUGUAAAUUAAGCUCAAUAUUUUUCCUUUUUCUCUGCACAGUGCAAAUGUAAACAUAUUUUAUGUUGUAGUAUAGAUUUUUCGAUGCAAGUACCAAAACUGAAAUGUGUUGACAUAUAAUAUAUUAAUUUCUUUGACAACUAAAAACAUAUGCGUAGCAGGUAUUCAAGGACAACAGUGAAACCAUUGAGCCAUUUCCCCCAUCCAGCAGAUCUGCUGCGAUUGCAUUGAGCCAUGGAGGCGACGGUGGUGAGCAUCGGCAAGUCAGUGCUGGUGGGGGCGCUGGGGUUCGCGCGGUCAAAGGUGGCCGAGGAGGUCGCCCUGCAGCUCGGCGUCGAGGGCGACGUCGCCUUCAUCGCCGACGAGCUCGAGAUGAUGCAGUCCUUCCUGAUGACGGCUGACGAAGAGCGCGGCCAGCACAAGGUGCUUGGCACCUGGGUGAAGCAGGUGUGUGAUAUGGCCUACAAUGUGGAGGACAGCCUCAUGGAUUUCGCUUUGUACUCGGAGAAGAAGGCGUCUUGGUGGUGCAGUCUGCACACUGUGGGGGAGCGGCGCCGCAUCGCCAAGGAGGUGAAGGAGCUUAGGGCCAAGGUGGAGGACGUCAGCAACAGGAACCUGCGCUACCGCCUCAUGAAGGCAUGUUCCGGCUCUAAGACUUCUGCAGCCGAGGAACAGGCCAGCAUUGCCAAUGCCACGGCGGCAAUGUUUGGCAUCAACGAAGCAAGGUUUGCUGAACUGGGGAAGGAAGAAUUGAAGGUGGAUCUCCACCAGUUGAUCACCAGCGAGGAGGAGGAACUUAGGGUGAUUUCUGUGUGGGGAACAAGUGGUGAUCUUGGGAAGACGUUUGCUAUCAAGGAGGUUUAUGAUGACCCAAAGGUAUUGAAAAAGUUCGGUUUUUGUGCUUGGAUUAGGUUGGCUCAUCCGUUCAAUGCAAAAGAGUUCAUAUACAGCCUUGUGAGGCAGUUCUAUAAAAAUUCUCAUGAUGAGGUUGCAAACCGAAAAGAAGAAACAAGUGUUGGCGCUAACAUUCUUCUGAAGAUGGAGAAGAUGAAACAAAAUGAGUUGGUUCAUGUUUUCAAUACACAAGUGAGUAACAAUAGCUACCUGAUUGUGAUAAAUAACCUAUCCACGAUAGAAGAGUGGCAUUGUGUCAAAGAGUACUUUCCUGACAACAAGAAACAAAGUAGAAUAAUUGUUUCCACUCAGCAAGUUGAAAUUGCAAGCUUGUGCUCAGAGAAACUGUACCAAGUGUCGGAGCUCAAGCAGUUGUCAUGUGAUCAAACUAUUUAUCUGUUCCACAAGAAGGUACUCUUCUUUUGUUGGUAUUGUCUUCUGUAAUAGAUUGGUUUGUUUUAUCUUUGGAUGGCUCAUUCUUCUUUUCAUUUCUUGUCUAAUUAUAGAAUUCAGAGGAGCCGGCCAGCGUGGCCAGUGCUAGUGCAGCAAUGCUUAACGUCAACAAACAAAAGCAAGCUGCCAUCGAGAAGGAGAAAUUGAAGGUGAGACUUCGACAUCUGACGGAAAUUCAAUUCUGACUUGCAUAUCUAUGGACAUAUUUGGCUUAUAUAAAUGUUGGUAGUAUGCGUACGUUUGGAUGUUGAUCAAAGUUCACCCUACCAAAUUUUUGGUCAUUGACCAAAAUUUGGCUCUUGUUUUGAUGAAAGCCAACUUCUUGGCAACCCAAUGCCCCACUAUCAACUCUAGUUCAUUUUUUUGGCCAACUCAUGGGCAAGCAAAACCUCAACCAAAUUUUUGGCAAGGCAUUUGUGGGCUCAAACCAAACAGCCCCAAUGUUCCUGUUGUCCUCACACAGGCACACGCUAUGUCCCAUCGGAACAUUACUUAGCAAAAUUUCAUAUGCAAACAUAUUGCCAUAUUCAUUGAAAUCAUGAGUGAACCAAUCCUGGUGCUGAAAGAUAUUUGACAAACUUUUAAAUUUUGAGGGAAUUGAAACGGAGAAAUUUCUUGACAUGUUUCGUCGUAGAAUUAUGCUAGUUGAAAAAUGCAUGAUACUUUUAAGUUGAACUGAGGAUAUGUAAAUAAACUAAUCCCUCCGAUCCAUAUUACUUGCCACAGAUUUAGUACAAAGUUGUACUGAAUCAACAAGUAAUAGGGGUCAGAGGGAGUAGAUAAUUUGUUGGGCGUACUAUUCCCCUCAAAAGCAUGCAUUAAAUUCCUCAAUACCUUAAAGAUGAUCAGGCAGUGUAGAUGUUAAAAUGUGUAUAGUGCAAGUAUAUAAAUUCUGAUAGAUGUGUGUUUGGUUCAGGAUAUGCAUGCAUCGUGUUCUGCCGAGCCCAUUUCUGACUCAAACGGAGUUAGUAAUACUGAGAAAAACACAGCAAUGCCCACCAGUGAAAUACUGGAGGAGGACCAAGAACCUAAGAAUGAAAGUGAAGACAAAGUUAGCAACGCAAGUGCUAGAAAGAAGUUUGAUCGCUGCAGGACAUUGGCAGUGGUUGAUGAAGUGAUUUGUGGGCGAGAAACAGAGAAAUCUCUUGUUAUCAAAUUAAUUGGCCAACCGGACAACAAUCAAGGACGUAAGGUGAUCUCAGUUUGGGGAAUGGGGGGUCUUGGGAAAACUACUCUUGUCCGAAGCGUCUACCGAAGCCAACAGCUUGGUGGCUGGAAGCGUGCUUGGACCACUGCAUUGCGCCCUUUUAACGCGGCAGCACUCCUUAGAGAUUUGGUUUUGCAGCUGCAGAAAAGUAUUCAAGAAGAUCCUGCUGCAGCAAUAGCAUCUGGAGCCCAUAAGAAAAGCAUAACAGUGAUGGAACUAAAAGAGUUGAAGGAGGAGUUAUCUCGGCUGCUAAAGGUACAGAAGUGCCUUGUUGUUCUUGAUGAUAUAUCAACCAUUAAAGAAUGGGAGUUGGUUGAAAAAUGUUUGGACAAUGCUGGAAGAAUCAUAGUCACCACAAGAGAAAAAAAUAUUGCUGAAAAAUGUUCAAGAGACAACAUGUACAAUCUUAAAGGUCUGAAACAUGAAGCUGCACUUGACCUCUUUGUAAAGAAGGUACUUAUAUAACCAUUAUCAUUUCUUUCCUUUCAUAUGAGUUUCACUUCACAUUGUAUUGGUUUUUCUUCAUGCACGUUGUAUUGUUUUGUUUCUCGAACACACACCUAUGUUUGUGUCAUUUUUUAUGAGAAAAAACGCCAAGAUGGCGCGGGUAUUGCAGAAUCCGGCAGCAAAACAUAAGAGCCCAAGGGCUGAAAAAACAAAACUGUAACACUAGGCUACAGCAAUUCUGAAUUUAGAAGUAUAGAAGCUGAUGUCUUAUUGGUAAAAAUGUUUAAACCCCAGUAUUCCUCUACAUGGAAAUAUUAGAUCUUUGAAAAUGUCUAGGACUGAGAUGUUUAGUCGACACCUAAGUUCAAGAAAAUUCCAUAGAAAUUCAAAUUCAUCCCUUCUACGUAAUAGUAAUGAGAUGGAAGCACCAAACAAAAUCAAAGUAGGAGAGAAAGGUUUCAUAGUAAUCUUUUUAAUCCAACAGAACUUACCCAUAGGGUCAGUGGGCUUCUAUGUCUCAGGCUGAAGCUAGGACGGCCAAGUCCAUGAUAUUUCAUAUUCUUAAUUCAACAACUAUAUUAUUUACUCCAGAUAGUUAACUUUGUAAAUUAUGUCUGUUUGCAGGUAUUCAAGGAUAACACGGAUAAAAAUGAUUUAGCCCCAGCUAUGAUGGAGCAAGCAACACUUGUCCUAAAGAAAUGUGAUGGACUUCCCCUUGCAAUUUCGACUAUAGGUGGUUUCCUAUCCACCAAGCCAAGAACUGCUAUUGAAUGGAGGAAGAUGAAUGAUUGUAUUAGCUCUGAGCUGGAGAUCAAUCCUGAACUAAGGACAAUAAAGUCAGUUCUUAUGAGGAGCUACGAUGGUUUGCCGUACCAUCUCAAGUCUGCUUUCUUAUACCUGUCCAUAUUUCCAGAAGACCACAGAAUUAGGUGGGAUCGUUUGGUGAGGCGAUGGAUCGCAGAGGGUUACUCAAGGGAUAUCCAUGGCAUGACUGGAGAGCAACUCGGUCGCAGGUACUUUGAUGAACUUUUUGAUAGGUGUGUGAUCUUGCCAGGGGACAAAGUAAACCAUUACAGUGGGAAAUCAAUUCUUGCCAACUUCAUGAUAUGAUCCGUGAGAUAUGCAUCACAAAAGCGAGGGAGGAAAACCUUGUUUUCACACUGGAGGAAGGGUUUUGUUUGAGCAGUACACAAGGUGCAAUACGGCAUCUUGUCGUAGGCAGCAACUGGAAAAGGGAUAAAGAUGUAUUGGAGAGCAUGCUGGACUUGUCACAUGUAAGGUCAUUGACUGUGUUCGGAGAGUGGAGGCCCUUCUUCAUCUCCGAUAAGAUGAGGUUCCUCCGAGUGCUUGAUUUGGAAGAUACACUAGGGUUAAGAGAUCAUCAUCUCGAUCAAAUCGGGCAGCUCCGUCACCUCAUUUACCUCUCUUUACGAGAUUGUAAAAACAUUUUCUGCCUGCCUAAUUCUUUAGGAAAUUUGAGGCAUCUCCAAACACUAGAUGUUAGAGGUACACAAAUAUUUGAGUUGCCAGCAACAAUGACCAAGCUUCGUAAGCUAGAGCACCUUCGUACAACUGAUUUAUUGAAGACAAUGCCAGGAAGUAAUGUCAAAGGAGAGGAUGACAUAGUUGCUAAGUACAGACAGCAGGUUCCUUUUGUUUCAACCAAAUUUUGCUUGGCCUUUCUUCCUCUACUGUAUGCUAGUCCUAUUUUCUUGAGACCACAAGUUUUAGGUGCUGGUUUGAACAGGCUUGAUAUACUCAACAUAUACCGCUUUUGUAUGGUGUCUCUAGCAGAGAUUGAUUCCUUCGUUUCUUGGCUGGAUGGUGUAGAAGUUCCUGGAGGGAUUGGUAAGCUGAAGGCCUUGCAGACACUGGGUUUUGUCAAUAUUGCACGGGGCAAGGGAAAGGCCACUCUGAACGAGUUCAAAGAGCUUACACAGCUGCGUAAGCUUGAAGUGACUGCUGUCAGUGACCAAAACAGUAAGGAGUUUUGGUCUGCCAUUGCUAGUCACAAUCAACUUCGAUCUCUGUCAGUGAAAGGUGUGGACGAUAGGUGCGAGUUGGAUGGUAGUUUGGGUGAGGGUUUGUUGCCACCAAGCUGCCUGGAGAGCCUGAAGCUGUGGGGCAAGCUAGUCAGAGUAACCUCAUGGAUCCAUCAGCUUCAGAAUCUCUCCAAGUUGACGCUAGAGUAUUCCGGAUUGGAGCAAGAUGAUGCCAUACAAGCCCUUGGGGUGCUACCAAAUCUUGCAGUGCUACGCCUGAAGGAGGGGUCGUUUGAUGGGAAGCAGCUCCGUUUCCAAGGCGCGUCUUUCCCAAGUCUCGUGGUGCUGGAGCUUCAUGGAUUACAUUACCUUGAAUCAGUGUUGUUUGAAGAAGAGGCAAUGCCUAGGCUGGAGCUGCUGCAAGUUGGUUGGUGCGGGGGGCUGAACAAAAUCUCCGGGCUGGCAGUCCUAUCAAGCCUCAUGGAAAUGCGGCUGCCUGCUUAUGGUCUCCAUGCGGUGAAGGAAGAGGUGAAGAGGCAGGUAGCGGAGCAUCUGAAGCACGUCGGGCUGAAUCUCUCGUGAGCUCCAUCUUCCCUUGUUUUUCUGUCUACAUCAUGCACGGCGUACUGUCUGUACAGCAUGCAUAUAUGUGUGUGUACCGUACAAUUGAUUUGCUCCCCAUUCCACUCAUUGUACAUGCACGUUAGCCGUGUAUGUGUAUGUGACUGACGAUGCAUGCCUGCCUGACUCGCAGAUCCAGUCAAAGUUGCGACGGGUGCCUGUACUCUCUAACAAAUUCCAGUCAAAGCCGCGUGUGAUCACUGUUGGCUUGUUUCUUGUAGAUAUGCAAAGGCAGGCACCCGCGUCAUUCUGAAGAUGGGAAACAGGUAAAGCGUUGCACUCUGACCAGGACGCCGAUGAAUGGCUUCUAGUCCAGGAGGCAGCUCUUGGGCGCGGCUUUCUAAUAAAAAAUAAAUGUUAUCUCUUGUUUCCUCUGCGCAUUCAGAGUCAGGCCUGAAUUCAGAGUUACUACUGCCUCUGCCUUUGUGGAAUGAAAUACUAGCAUGGAUCGGUUCAGACGAAUGCUUUUGAUGAUACAUGACUACAUGUAUGUUAAACAAAAAGGGAAAAUCAUCUCUUUCAGUAUUUCUAUUGUCUGGAGGCCGAUGUCCAGUGAAUUUUGGUUCGCAGGGAAGAACAUCACUCAGUUUGCUUGCAUGUGCAGCAAACCAAAGUAAGAUGCCUCUCUGUUUAUCGAUGAUCGGCCAACUUGACAUAUGACUGUCGUCUGUUUAUUUUAUCCCUCUGAUGAACACUGGAGAAAAUUUAUGUAUGGAUCAAAAUGGAUGGAAAAUUACCAAGCAUCCGUUUGAUACCACGCAGUAGUGUUUGUGUCCAUAGUUCCAUCAAAGCGGUGGUUCUAAGCGAGACCUACAUCAGAGACAGAUAAACAUUUCUGAAAUGUGCAAUAUAUUCUACAGCACUGAACUUAUCUCUCCUUUGAGUUUUGACAGCAGGAUUGCUGAAUUUGACAGUCUUUCAUCUGCAAUUACAAAAACAGUCUCCACUGUCUGCAUAUGCAUAUGCUUUUUCUUCUUUCUCUGGAUGUUACUGUUGGAUUUGGGAUUGUAAUGAUGCAAAUGCUAGGCUUGAUGCUUGAUUAAUUGCAAGCUACUGCAGGAAGAUCGACGUUGUUGUGUCACUAGCUCAAGGCCAAAAAAUGUCACUAGUUUUUCUUGGUUCUGAUUUCUGAAGAGGUUGUUUCUGCUGGUCUGGUCAGACCCAGACCCACACGUAAACGUAAACCGGGAGGAAUACGCGUCUUACGCAGAGGAAGCGUAAGAUGGAGAUACGCUUUACUUUACUUUCACUCCUGCUCGUUCUUCCUUCUUGGGCGGCGACGAAGCCUGGCUGGCGGCGGCCGGGGAGGGAGCGAUGAGGCGGCGAGCGGGGCCGGCGGAGGCGGUGGUUCGGUUUCGUCGGCGGCCGCGUUGGUGUUGGACGCGCGAGACGGGGCCAGCCUCAUCCGGUUGGUCGCAUUGCGCGAAGCAGAGGAGAUGGCUUGGGAAGUGGGAACAGAGGUAAGGGAUCGCAUUUUCAGCGGUUAGGUUUGGCUUCAAAGCUUCAUAUGCAUGCUUGUGUUCCUCUGUUGGAAUUAGAUCGAUUGGUAACAGCAGACCAGCUCGCAGAGCCCCCUUCUUGCAGACCAUCCGCCCCCCUUUGCCGAUAGUAACAGACUGCUCAUAUAAUUGAAGCUUCCUAUAGAGUUUCUUUGUGUAACUGCUGUGACCUAUUACUGUUGGUAAUGUAAAUGUAUGUAGUGUGUUGUCCCUGGCUUGAAAUCGCAUGGAGAUUGCUGGGCUAGAAGUCUUCUUCCUCAAAAUGAAAACGGAAACUGGGUGUGUACGCAAUUUUGUUGGGACGUAGUCCUGGUAGCAUAUGCGCCAUUCACUAUCAUAUCGAACAUGCAGAGAGUGACUUCGUCAUAAGUUAACAUUUCAUCACGGCCAGCUGGCCAGGAAACUGGUUAUCGGAAAUUGGGUGGUUGGAGCCAUUUAUUAGUUCUAGUAUGACCUGUAAAUUGUCUAUAUUCUUGUCAUUUAGGCGGAGUGGUUGUGGCGUCACCUGUCUCAAUAUAAUCAAUGGUUAGAUGAUGCUUGGAUUAAAUAUAUUCAGUUCAAUCAAAUUGUGAACUGCAAGCCCCUCCCCUCCAAAAGAACAUGUCGACACCCGGCAUGCAGGACAAUAUUUUUCAUCUAAAUUCUAACGUGCAUAUGAUCUGAGGCCUCCAAUCAUUAAGCCGUCCUCCGUUACUUGGUCUUCAGAUUACAAUAGAAGCUUCUUUUUCUCGGUCGCAAGAUUCACACAAAACCAGCAACGAUCACCAAGCUCCGUAUGCUGCAGCACCUUCAUAUAACUGAUUAUUUCAAGCAUCAGUUGAACCUCCUUUUCGGAAGAAACGUUUAGUAGCCUGGAGAAACUAUGCGAUUUCAGAAUUAUCUGUUGCUGCUAAUAAAACGAUUUCAUUUUUAUACUAUUACCCAACAAUGCAAUCCAACUGACUGCAAAUUUCAGAAUUAUCUGACCAAUGUCUUUGGCUCGGAAAUAGCCUGGAGAUUGCUGGCCUGGAAGGCUUCUUUCUGAAAAUGGAAAUGGAAAUUGGGCGUAGGUAAUUUUGUUAGUGCGUAGUCCUGGUAGCAUCGAACAUGCAUUGAGUGACUUCGUCAUAAGUUAACAUUUCAUCACGGCCAGCUGGCCAGGAAAUUGGUUAUAGGAAGUUGGGUGGUUGAAGUGAUUAAUCAGUUCUAGUACAACCUGUAAAUUGUCUAUAUUCUUGUGCAUUUAGGCAGAGUGGUUUGUGCAUUAGCUGCCUGGGUUAAUUAUAUCCAAUUCAAUCAAAUUGUUAACUGCAAGCCCCUCCAAAACAACAUGUCAAGAUCCGACAGCAGGUCAAUUGUUCUCUUCUAAAUUCUAGUGUGCGUCUGAUCUGAGAGCUCCAAUCAUUAAACCUUCCUCUGCUACUUGGUCUUCAGAUUAGUACAUAUCAACAUUGAUUUUUCUUGAUCACAUGAUUCACAAUUUCACACACAACCAGCAACAAUCACCAAGCUCUGUAAGCUACAGCACCUUCGUACAACUGAUUAUUUCAAGCAUUAGUUGAACCUCCUUUUCGAAAAUAAUGAGUUAAGCAGUAGCCUCCAGAAACUAUGUGGUUUCAGAAUUAUCGGUGACUGUUGACCUGAUAAUACAGUAGCAGCACCCAAGAAUGCAAUCCUAUUGACCCAAAUUUCAGAACUAUCUGAUCAAUUGUCUUUGGCUGGGAAAUCGCCUGGAGAUUGCUGGCCUAGAAGGUUUCUUUCUGAAAAUGAAAAUGGAAAUUGGGCGUGGUAAAUUUUGUUGGGAUGUAGUACCUUGUAGAUAUUGGCCAUCUACCAUCAUAUCGAACUUGCAGAGAGAAAAUCGUCAUAAGUUAAAUUUCAUCACGGCCGGCUGGCCAGGAAAUUGGUAAUUGAAUUGGAUGGUUGAAGUGAUUAAUCAGUUCUAGUACGACCUGUAAAUUGUCUAUAUUCUUGUCAUUUAGGCAGAGUGGUUGUGGCAUCAGCUGUCUCACUAUAAUUAAUGGUUAGAUGAUGCUUCAAUCAAUUGUUAACUGCAAGCUUCUCCAAAAUAACAUGUUGACAGCCAGCAUGCAGGUCAAUAUUUUCUUCUAAAUUAUAACGUGCAUCUGAGAGCUCCAAUCAUAAAGCCAUCCUCCGCUACUUGUUCUUCAGAAUAGCAUAGCAUAACACCAUACAGCUGAUUAUUACAAGAGAAGAGAUAACGUCGAAGGAGAGGAUAUGACAUUUUUUUGUAUGAUUAUAGAGGUCGUGUUCCUCAGCUUUUGAGGAAAUUGGGCACAUCCUGUUUACUUCCGCUGUCCACGGGUGGCCUGUUUUCUUGAGACCACAAGUUUUAGAUGUAGGUUUGAACAGGCUUGAUAUACUCAACCUGAACUGGAUGUAUUGAUUUGUGAAGUAGUACUCCGUAGUAGCUUACAGAAACUACGCGGUUUGAGAAAUAUACUCAACCUGAAUUGGUUGUGUUGAUUUAUUAAGUAGUAGCUUGCAGAAACUACGCGCUGUUCAAAAAAGCUUGCAGAAACUACGCGGUUUGAGAAAUAUACUCAACCUGAACUGGUUGUGUUGAUUUAUUAAGUAGUAGCUUGCUGAAACUACGCGGUUUGAGAAUUAUCUGUUACUGCUAGCUAAUAGAAAGAUUUGAUUCUUCCAAAAAAGAAAAGAAAAGAUUUGAUUGAUCUAUAUACCUGACCUGAUAAUACAGUAGUAUCACCCAACAAUGCAAUCCAAUUGACUGCAAAAUUUCUUGACAGGAAACCAAUGUUAUUUUAUCACACAGUGCAUUUUCAUUUGUUCAAAUUGUAUAAUUAAGUUGGUCACUGGGGACAAAUACCUCACCUGCUUGCUUGCCACCAGCAAACACUACUGUAAAAUAUUCAGCCACCUCGAGUUUGUUGCCCAGUCAAAUGUCCUUGCUUUAAUGAAGGAGACUUGUUAGUUUAAGCAGAGCUGGCCAUCUAGCUAAAACUUUUUAGGACUCCGAUGCACACCGUGCAGCAAGUCUUGUUAUGAAGAAGAGAAUUGCCAACUUGACAUCAGGCACUUAGGCUUGUAGCUUGAUUCCCCUUAUUAAUCCACCUGCCCUGAUCAGCUGCUAGAUACACAUCUACCAUUCACCUCCAUAUCGUAGUGAGAAAGGAGAGCAAUGGAGGCGACGGCAGUGAGUGUUGGCAAGGCCGUGCUUGACGGUGCACUGGGCUACGCCAAGUCCAAGGCGGCGGAGGAGAUCGCGCUGCAGCUUGGUGUCGAGCGCGAUGUGGACUUUAUCACGGAUGAACUGCAGAUGAUGCAGUCGUUCCUGAUGACGGCUGACGAGGAACAAGCGAAGAACAAGGUGCUCCUGACCUGGGUGAACCAGAUCCGUGACCUGGCCUACAAGGUGGAAGAUAGCCUCAUGGAUUUUGGCCUCCACACAGAAAAGAAGCCAUUCUGGGGGUGCAUUCCCCGCAACCCAUGUGAUCGACGCCGUAUUGCCAGGGAAGUGAAGGAGCUGAGGGCCAAGGUGGAGGACGUUAGCAACAGGAACCUGCGCUACCGCCUCAUCAACGAGACCGCUGGUACCAAGCCUACUGCAGCAGAGGAGCAGGCCAGCAUUGCCAGUGCGGCGAUGUUUGGCAUCAGCGAAGCAAGUCUUGGCGGCCUGCAGAAGGAAGAAUUGAAGGGGGAUCUCCGUCAGUUGAUCACCAGUGAGGAGGAGGAACUUAGGGUGGUUGCCAUGUGGGGAACAAAUGGUGACCUUGGGAAGACGUCAGCUAUCCAAGAGGUUUAUGAUGACCCAAAGGUGUUGAAAAAGUUUAGAUUCCGUGCUUGGAUUAGGUUGAUGCAUCCUUUCAAUCCACAAGAGUUUAUUCAGAGCUUGGUGAGGCAGUUCUAUAAAAAUUCUCAUGAUGAGGUUGCAAACCCCAAAAAAGAAACAAGUAUUGGCGCUAAUAUUCUGGGGAAGAUGCAGAAGAUGGAUCAGAAUGAGUUGGUUCAUGUUUUCAAUACACAAGCGAGUAGCAAUAGCUACCUGAUUGUAGUAAAUAAUCUAUCCACGAUAGAAGAGUGGCAUUGCAUCAAAGAGUACUUUCCUGAUAACAAGAAGCAAAGUAGAAUCAUUGUUUCCACUCAGCAAGUUGAAAUUGCAAGCUUGUGCACAGAGAAACCGUACCAAGUGUCAGAGCUCAAGCAGUUGUCGUGUGAUCAAACUAUUUAUCUGUUCCAUAAGAAGGUAAUCUUCUAUUUUUUUGGUAUUGUCUUCUUAAUAAUUUAUUUUUUAAAUCUUUGCAUGGCUUAUUCUUUCAUUUCACAUCUAAUUAUAGAAUUCAGAGGAGCGGGUCAGCAUGAACAGUGCUAGUGCGGCAAUACUCAACAUGAACGAAGAAAAACUUGCUGCCGUCGAGAAGGAGAAAUUGAAGGUGAGACUCUGCCAGCUGAUGGAAAUUCAAUUUUUGAAUUGCAUAUCUAUCUAUCAUAUUGGACGUAUAAAUAUUGGUGGAUGGUGGUAGAAAUAGAAUUUCCUUUUGUCUUCACACAGGCACAGCUUUGUCCCAUCGGUACUUUACAUACCAAGAUUUCAUAUGCAAACAUAUUGCCAUAUUCAUUGAAAUCAUGAAUCAAUCCUGGUGCUGAAAGAUAUUUUACAAACCUUUAAAUUUUGAGAGAAUUAAAACUGAGAAAUUUCUUGACAUGUUUCCUAAUUGAAAAAUGCAUGAUACUUUGAAGUUGAACAGGGGAUAUGUAAAUAAACUAUAGAUGAUUUGUUGGUCGUACUACUCCCCUCAAAAGCAUGCAUUAAAAUUCCUCAAUAUUUUAAAGACAAUCAGGUAUUGUACAUGUGAAAAUCUAGAGUGCAAGUACAUAAAUUCUGAUAGAUCUGGUUUUUGGUUCAGGCUAUGCAUGCAUCGUGUUCUGCCGAGCCCAUGUCUGACUCAAACGAUGUUAGUAGUACCGAGGAAAACACAUCAAUGCCCACCAGUGAAAUACUGGAGGAGGACCAAGAACCUAAAAAUGAAAGUGAAGACAAAGUUAGUAACUCAACUGCUAGAAAGCAGUUUGAUCGCAGCAGGACAUUGGCACUGGUUGAUGAAGUGAUCUGUGGGCGAGAGACAGAGAAAUCCCUUCUUAUCAAAUUAAUUGGCCAACCGGGCAACAAUCAACGACGUAAGGUGAUCUCAGUUUGGGGAAUGGGGGGUCUUGGGAAGACUACUCUUGUCCGAAGCGUCUACCGAAGCCAACAGCUUGGCGGCUGGAAGCAAGCUUGGGCCACUGCAUUGCGUCCUUUUAAUGCUGGAGCACUACUUAGGGAUUUGGCUUUGCAGUUUCAAAAAAAUAUUCAAGAAGAUCCUGCUGAAGCAACAACAACUAAAGAGCAAAAGAAAAUCAUAUCAGUGAUGAAACUUCAAGAGUUGAAGGAGGAGUUAGCUCGGCUACUAAAAAUACAGAAGUGCCUUGUUGUUCUUGAUGAUAUAUCGUCCAGCUAUGAAUGGGAUUUGAUUAAAGAGUGUUUGGAUAACGCGGGAAGGAUUAUAGUCACGACAAGAGAAAAAAAUAUUGCCAAGCAUUGUUCAAGAGAAUACAAGAACAUGUACAGUCUUGAAGCUCUGAAAGAUGAAGCUGCACUUGACCUCUUCAUAAAGAAGGUACUUCUAUAACUAGUAUCCUUUCUUUCGUUCAUAUGAGUGUUUCUUAACAUUAUAGUAGUUUUGCUACUCCUAAGCUCAACAUUUUGCUUAACUCGUAGCGUUGCUUCAGGUAACAUUAUAUCCGCAAGCUUGAAAUUUCUCUUAAUGCAUAAUUAAGAAGCAUAAAAGUUUAUUUCUUUGAAAAGUGUUUAAGCCGUAGUUGUCCUUUACACACGAAAAGUUAGAUCUAUGAAAAUGUGUACUACAUUCAAAAUAGGCGCCACAGUUCUGUGCUAGUUUAGAGAGCUAACAAUUUGAUGUCUUGAAUCUCAAAGUAAAUUGGAUUUUUCAGAAUUAACAUAUGUAUGACACCGAUAUGGCUCCAGCCUUUAAAAAAAAUCUGCAUUUCAAAACAUAUCGAAACAAAUCACUCAUUCAAAUGUGUGAGUACUUUGUAUUCCUCCGUCCAACAAAGGAUGUCUCAAGUUUGUCAAAAUUUGAAUGUAUCUAGACAUGACUUAGUGUAUAGAUACAUUCAAAUUUGGUCAAAGAUGAGACAUCCUUUGUUGGACGGAGGGAGUACAUGUAAAGAGUUGCAUAAAAAUAUUGCAGUCUAUGUCCUGCCUAAUAAAGUGUGAAGAGCGGAAGGAGCAAUUUGUGCCUCAGCUGUGUUUUUUAGGUUUUAAACCGCGCGCUAAAUCAUUUCGCGGCGGCAUCCUCCAGCCGCUAUAGCGGCCGCUAUUGCGCCGCAAUCGCGUCACCGUGUACAAAAAAUUAGCGCCAUAUCUAAACUUAUCUGCUAUAUAAUGAAGAAAUUAUUGCAAAAUUAGGUAUUAACUUUGAUUCCGCGGCAACCGUAACAGCAUCGCGCCGCGGCUUCCUUGCCGCUAUUGCGCCACUAUAGCGGCCAAGUCGUGCGCUAUUUAUUUCCAUACUUUUUUUACAUGAUACAGAAAUGCGAAUCUUCUCUUGAGUUUGUAAUUAGGCAUGUCUUGGGGUAACCAACUCACAAAUUCACAUGCCCCCGGUAUGUUGCUUAAAUUGUCUGCCUCAUCGUGUCAGUUGUACUGUCAAAUGUUCUCACCAUACUCGAGGAGUCAUACAUUUGUUUUCUUCACAAUCAUGGUCCCAGUUGCACAUUUGAAUAGUAGCAAUACUUAGGAUCAAGAUAUUUUGUCCACACUUAAGAUACAAGAAAAUUCCAGAGAAAUUCAAGUACAUCCCUUCUUCUGACCGUUAUAAGAUGUCAAUUCCUACAAAAAUGUUAAAUAAAGGAGGAGAGAACAUUUUCACCGUAAACUUACCCUUAUGGUCAGGGCUUUGGCUUCUAGAAAUCCCACGCCGAAGCUUGAAUAACCAAGUCCAUAAUAUUUCAUAUCCUUAAUUCAGAAAAUAUAUUGUUUAAUAAAAACUAGUUAACUUUGUUAAUUAUGUCUGGUGGCAGGUAUUCAAAGAUCACACUGGAAAAAAUGACUUAUUACCGGCUAUGGUGGAGCAAGCAAGACUUAUCCUAAAGAAAUGUGAUGGACUUCCCCUGGCAAUAUCGACUAUAGGUGGAUUCCUAUCCACUAAGCCAAAAACUGCUAUUGAAUGGAGGAAGAUGUAUGAUUGUAUUAGCUCCGAACUGGAGAUUAAUCCUGAACUCAGGACAAUAAAGUCAGUUCUUAUGAGGAGCUACGAUGGAUUGCCGUACCAUCUGAAGUCUGCUUUCUUAUACCUGUCCAUAUUUCCAGAAGACUGCAAAAUUCGGUGGGAUCGCGUGGUGAAGCGGUGGAUUGCAGAGGGUUACUCAAGGGAUAUGCAUGGCAUGACUGGAGAGGAACUCGGUCGCAGGUACUUUCAUGACCUUUUGGAUAGGAGCAUGAUCUUGUCAGGAGAAGAAGUAAACCAUUACAAUGGGAGAAUCAAUUCUUGCCAACUUCAUGAUAUCAUCCGUGAAAUAUGCAUAUCUAAGGCGAGGGAGGAAAACCUUGUUUUCACACUGGAGGAAGGGUUUUGUUUGAGCAGCACACAAGGUGCAAUACGACAUCUUGUCAUAGGCAGCAGUUGGAAAAGGGAUAAAGACGUGUUGGAGACCAUGCUGGACUUGUCGCAUGUACGGUCAUUGACUGUUUUUGGAGAGUGGAGACCGUUUUUCAUCUCCAAUAAGAUGAGGUUCCUCCGAGUUCUCGAUUUGGAAGAUACAGUAGGGUUAAGAGAUCAUCAUCUGGAUCAAAUCGGGCUGCUCCGUCACCUCAUGUACCUCUCUUUACGAGAAUGUGCGAACAUUUACUGCCUGCCUAAUUCUUUGGGGAAUUUGAAGAACCUCCAAACACUUGAUGUUAGAGGAACACGUAUAUUUGAGUUGCCAAGAACAAUCACCAAGCUUCUUAAGCUACAACACCUUCGCACAACUGAAUCUUUGCUGAUAACCGGCAAAGUCAAAGCAGAGGUUGACAUAUUUGAGAAUUACAAAGAAUUUAAUGAAGUUCCUCUGUUGAUCAAAUUGUUGGGCAAGUCUUGUUCAUUUUUUCUGCAUAAAAGCCCUCUUUUCUUGAGACCACAAGUUUUAGAUGUUGGUUUGGACAUGCAUGAUAUAUUCGACCUAUACCGGUUUGCCAUGUUCUGUCUAGCAGAGACUGGUGAUUUCUGGGAUGCUCGGGUGUAUGGUUUUGAAGUUCCUAGAGGGAUCGGUAAGCUAAAGGCUCUGCACACACUGGGUGUUGUCAAUAUUGCACGGGGCAGGGGAAAGGCCACUCUGAACGAGUUGAAAGAGCUCACUCGGCUGCGUAAGCUUGGAGUAACUGGUGUUGGCGACAAAAACAGCAAGGAGUUGUGGUCUGCCAUUGCGGGUCACAAUCAACUUCGGUCUCUGUCAGUGCAAGCUGGGUCCCGUUAUGACAAGUUGGAUGGUAGUUUGGGUGAGGGUUUGUUGCCACCAAGCUGCCUCGAGAGCCUGAAGCUGUGGGGCAAGCUAGUCCAAGUAACCUCAUGGAUCCAUCAGCUUCAAAACCUCUCCAAGUUGACGCUAGAUCGUUCCAGAUUGGAGCAAGAUGAUGAUGCCAUACAAGCCCUUGGGGUGCUACCUAAUCUUGCAGUUGUACGCCUGAAGUGGGGGUCGUUCAAUGGGAAGCAGCUCCGUUUCCAAGGCCCUUCUUUCCCAAGCCUCGUGGUGCUGGAGCUUUAUGGAGUACUGGACCUUGAAUCGGUGUUGUUUGAAGGAGACGCAAUGCCUAGGCUCGUGCUGCUGCAAGUUAAUCGGUGCCAUUCGCUGAAGGAAAUCUCCGGGCUGGCAGUCCCCACGAGCCUCAGGGAAAUUCGGCUGGGUGAUUUAGUUGCCCCUGAAUUGAAGGAAGAGGUGCAGAGGCAGGUCGCGGAGCAUCUGAAGCACGUCAGGCUGAGUCUCUCGUAAUGGUGUACGCAGAAAUCUCUAUGUACAUCUCAUGGCUGUAUUUCCAUAAUCAGAUCUGCAGGGAUGCUAAAAUGUGUGUAUCGAUCUGCAUUGGCCAUUAGCAACACUGCAAGUCAUGUAUUUUCACGAUGUAUUUUCAGUGUCAGAUUGGUGUACGUGCAUUCAGAGUUAUGUCUUUGUAUGAUAAAAUAUCAUGGAUCGGUUCAGACGAAUGCUUUUGAUGAUAAUCCGUACAUGACUUGCAGUGUUGCUAAUGUCUGCAGGCCGAUGUCCACUGCAAUACGGCAUCUUGUCAUAGGGAGCAACUGGAAAAGGGAUAAAGAUGUGUUGGAGAGCAUGUUGGACUUGUCGCAUCUACGGUCAUUGACAGUGUUUGGAGAGUGGAGACCUUUUUUCAUCUCCGAGAAGAUGAUGUUCCUCCGAGUUCUCGAUUUGGAAGAUACAGUAGGGUUAAGAGAUCAUCAUCUCGAUGAAAUUGGGCAGCUCCAUCACCUCAUUUACCUUCUUUACGAGAAUGUGCGAACAUUUUCUGCCUGCCUAAUUCUUUGGGGAACUUGAGGCACCUCCAAACACUAGAUGUUAGAGGUACACACAUAUUUGAGUUGCCAGCAACAAUCACCAAGCUUCGAAAGCUACAGCACCUUCGGACAACUGAUUUAUUGAAGGGCAGAGGUAAUGUCAAAGGAGAGGCUGACAUAGUUGGUAAGUAUAGAAAGCGUGCUCCUUAUCUUUCGACCAAAUUGGGCUGGGCUUGUUUACUUGGACUGUACACAAGUCCUGUUUUCUUGAGACCACAAGUUUUAGAUGCUGGUUUGAACAGGCUUGAUAUACUCAACCUAUACCGCUUCAGCAUGUUGGGUCUAGUGGAGACUGAUUCCCUCUAUGUGAGUUGGCUGGAUGGUGUUGGAGUUCCUGGAGGGAUUGGUAAGCUGAAGGCCCUGCACACACUGGGUGUUGCCAAUAUUGCACGGGGCAAGGGAAAGGCCACUCUGAAAGAGUUGGAAGAGCUUACUCAGCUGCGUAAGCUUGGAGUGACUGGUGUCAGCGACAAAAACAGCAAGGAGUUGUGGUCUGCCAUUGCUGGUCACAAUCAACUUCGAUCUCUGUCAGUGAAUGGUUUGCACUCUUGGUACCAGUUGGAUGGUAGUUUGGGUGAGGGUUUGUCGCCACCAAGCUGCCUUGAGAGCCUCAAGCUGUGUGGGAAGCUAGUCAGAGUAACCUCAUGGAUCCAUCAGCUUCAGAAUCUCUCCAAGUUGACGCUACAGCGUUCCAGUUUGCAGCAAGAUGAUGGUGCCAUACAAGUCCUUGGGAUGCUACCAAACCUUGCAGUUGUACGCCUGAAGGCGGUGUCAUUCUGGGGGAGACAGCUCCGUUUCCAAGGCUCAUCUUUCCCGAGUCUCGUGGUGCUGGAGCUUCUUGGAUUAGAUAACCUUGAAUCGGUGUUGUUUGAAGAAGAUGCAAUGCCUAGGCUCGUGCUGCUGCAAGUUUAUGACUGCAUGAAGCUGAAGGAAAUCUCAGGGCUGCCAGUCCUCACAAGCCUCAGGGGAAUUCGGCUAGGUAGUCGUGUUCGCGAUGCAUUGAAGGAAGUGAAGAGGCAGGUAGCGGAGCAUCUGAAGCACGUCAGACUGAAUCUCUUGUAAACUCCACAGAUAUGUGUGUGUAUCCAUCUUCCCUUGUUUUUUGUGUGUAUCCAUCCAGGCUUAUUGAAUAGCUGCUGCUGCUUCUUGUGAGGAUAUGGCUCCGCAGAACAGAUUAAACGGGUCCAUCAUAUUCAUAUGCGUGUUGAGACGACGAUCUCUUCACCAUAUUAUGGUUGUAAUGAGCACCAACAAAUUAAACGGUCAUACUUCCUUCGUCCCAAAAUAACUGACAUCCAUGUCACUUAUUUUGGGAUGGAAAGAGUAUUAUUAUAGUGAGAUGAUUCCCAUGCGGAGAGGAACAGGAUUGGGGGUUCAUCCAGUUCUGAUGUUUUCAAAUCUUGAAACAGUCAAUUAUUCUAGUUGUAACUAAUGGUAGAACAGGGAAAGAUGUUAAUUCCACAAAGAAGAAACUGCAACCACAAUCAAGAUGGGAAACCAUCUCUUGUAGUGCGGUUGCUAAUGGCUCGAGGAUGCAGAUGUUCACUGAAUUUUGAUUCUCAAGAAAGAGCAACACUUAACAUAGGACUGUCUUCUGUUUAUCGAUGGAUGGAUGGAUGCAUGGGCUUUGGCCGUCUCGCUCUCCAUUUUUUUUUAAAAGAGGUGGAAAUCUCAGCCUCUGCAUCAAUCGAUGCAUACAACCAUUUUUAUUGCAAAGUUAUAAAAAGUGGGUGUUACAAGUCACCGACAAGCGAUCGUGGAUGCAAAAAUAAGCCAGCUAAAAACAUCAAUCAUGACGAAUCUAGGCGUCUAGUACACCACUAGCCAGUCCGGUUGAAGAUAUCCCAAGAUACCGUCUCCAGCCGGUUGCAUCCAAUAUCCAUAAGUCCCCGCAGGUACACAGGGAGCAGGAAAGCCCAAAGACGGAUCCAGUGCGUAGCUUUGAAGAUAACCUGCAAAAAGUUGUAAACUCUGGAUCGAUUAAAAACCACAUCAUUCCUGCAAUUCCAAAUAGCCAACAGAAAGCCGAAACUCCCAUCCGCAUAUGAGCUUUAAGUUUUUUCUCUGCCCCAUUAAACCAGUUACCAAACAAAUUAGUAAUUGAUGUCGGGGUGGAAGAUUAAAAGUAAUAAAAAUGAUGCGCCAAAUAAUACGAUCAAGAGGGCAGGAGACAAAAAGAUGUUGAAUGCUUUCAUCAGCAUCACAAAAGCAACAUUUUAAACUUCCUUGCCAAUUUCGUUUCGCAAGAUUGUCUUUAGUUAAAAUAACCUGCCGAUCUAGAAACCACAUAAAAUUUUUGACUUUGGAGGAAAUCUUUAACUUUCAAAUAUAUUUUCGACGAAAAACCGUUUGCCCAUCCAUAAAAUCCGCGUACAUAGACUUUACAGAAAAGACGUCCGAGGGGGUAAGACUCCAAACAAAUUUGUCGGGCUCAGUCGACAAAUUAACCGUCAUAACCCGCUGGACCAAGAAUUAACCGUCUCGCUCUCCAUUGGAAUAGUCAAUCCUGUACUCCUGCAACACGCCGGCCAGUUAAACCAAUCUAAAGUCAACUGGCGCUAGGUUUGGGUAGCUCGCCGGCCUUGCAGAAGAUGCAGAUCGAGACGGCACAUCCCCGAUUCCGAGCUCAGUAUAUACCAAUCGGGUGCCAUUUGAAUUACAUUGCUGUGCAAUACUAAUGAAUGGCCCAGUUUGUUUUAUUAACUAAUGAAUGUUAAUAAAAACAAUCUGGGCCAUUUGAAUUGCAUUGCUGUGCAAUACUGACAUCUCCAGGGCCUACAUCAAUAGAAAGAAAAAAAAAAAGCCCCAGCGUCGUCCGAGGGGCGGCUUGGGCGGCGGAAAAAACCCUAGCCGCCGCCGCAAUCCUCCUAGCCCACCUCCCUUCGCCGCCGGGCAAAGCUCGUGCGGUUGACGGUGGCGGCGAGGCCUCUUCCGUGGCUUCUUCGUUGUGGAGGUCGUCCGGCGUGUCUCGAUGGUGGCGGCGGCAGCUUGGUGGUCACGCGUCUCGGUCGGCGGGUCGGGACCGCGAUGGAGUCGCCGGAUCCGGAGCAGGUGGUGCCGGAUCUGGUGAUGGGCUGUGCUCCGGUGGUGGCAGCUAGAUGGUCGGGCGUCUCGGUCGGCGGGUCGGGGCCGCGGCGGAGUCGCCGGAUCCGGAGAAGGUGGUGCCGUAUCUGGUGACGGGCGGUGCCUCGGCGGCGUGGCGAUGGCACCUGCGUGGUGAGGGCGGGCUGCUCGGCGGUGGUGGGGGCGUGUCAGGCCCUUGUGUGCGGCUGCUGCUGGGGAGCGGCCGGUUUUCGGCCGCGGUGGGCGCAUGGCUCUGCGGGUGUCCUGGGGCGCGGCCAUGGUGGUGCGGGCGGUGCUGCGGAUGCUGUUUGUGGCUUCCCUGGAGGUGCGACCCGGCUCGUGCGGGCCAAGAUGGGGGUUGCAGUUGUGGAUUCUCCUCCCUUCGGUUGUGGACCCGUCGGCACGAUCCCCUCGGCAGCUACCGGAUGGAAUCGGAGUUCGUGGUCAUGGGCCGGGGAGAAAUUCCUGCGUGGCUUUUGCCGACGUCGACGACGACGGGCGUCAUGAUCUUCUUGAAAGCGCUUGAAAGCGUCGUUGUGGUUCCUCUGCGGCUCUGUCUCCUUUGACACCGGGAGAAACCCUUGGUCUUGUUGACAGACCCGACAGCGACGGCGCUGCAAUGUCAUUUUUUUUUUCCUUGAGAGCGUUGGUGGCCUUGGAACCUUUCAGCAAGCAUGGAGGCGGUGGGGGAUGGUGCCGUCCCAUGCCUGAGAUGCUGGAUUUCUGGGCGCGAUGCACCCCAUCCUCGAUGCACCUUGGACAAUCCCCUUCCUCGGUUCUGGCCUGUUGCUGUCCCACCCAUCGAUCUUCUCUCUUGGCGUGACCGUGGGUAAGUUCGGGGCGGUCCUGAUGUUGCGGUCAUUAUUCGAGAAGCUUGGCGGUGGGCGGGAAGCCGUUGUUGUUGUCUUGUGCGCAAUGUCUUUGUCUUUUAGGCUUGGUGUUGUGCAGGGAGUUUGUUGUGGCUGCAACCGCUUUUUAGUCCAAACUAGCUAGGUUUUGGUGGAGUGGGUUUUUUAUCUGUCAUUUGAUGGCGUUGUUCUUGCCGUCUCGAUAUUGUACCAGUCUUCUGCCUCUUCUUCUUUGAGUGUUGCAUUAGAGAAAAAAAAAAGCCUACCAAAGCACUGCAGGAUGUAAUACAGUAGCAUCACCCGACGAUGCAGUGCAAUUGACUGCAAAUUAUCUUCGCUGGAAACCACAAUUUGGAGUGCAGCGCCCGACACCUUAUGCAUUUCAUAGAUCCUUGUGUAAUAUUCUGACAUCUUUGUGAGUGACAUUAGGCAUAGCAGAUCUAAAAUAAGCUAUGUUGUGCUCACACUGUAAAAAGUACGUAUCUGGAAUGGCCGGAAUGUGCUGAAAUCUGUGGAUGGAGGGUUCUUGAGCUUCCAGACUUGGAUGUUUCUGCUCCCGUUCAAUUAUCUGGUUGCAGGUUGCUAUUUUGAUCCAUACCUAAAUCGCCUGGAGAUUCCAGGCCUAGAAGGCUUAUUUCUCAAAACGAAAAUGGACACUGGGCCUAUACUGGUCGGGCCGCUUCAUUGUUGGGCCUUAGUUAUCGGGCCUUCUCGCUGUUGGGCCUGCUCCGUCCGUUUCUUUGUUUGCUUAAUAUCCCAGCGUUUUUUUUGUACCUGUACGCUUACAUUUCGCUCAAAAAAAAAAGACAAAACCUGUACGCUUACGUCCCUGCCGGAGGCGGCGGCGACGACGAGGCCUGGCUGGUGGCGGCCGGGGAGCGAUGAGGCGGCGAUCUGGGCCGGCGUCGGCGGUGGUUUGGUUUCGUCGGCGGCCGCGUUGGUGUUGGACGCCCAAGACAGGGCCAGCCUCAUCCGUUGGUCGCAUUACGGGAUCCGCUUCCGGGAACGGAGUUACGGAGGUAAGGGCUCGCUGACCCCUCGCCCCCGGCGCUUGCAUUUUCAACGGUUAGGUUUCUCUUCAAAGCUUGAUAUGCGUGCUUGUGUUCCUCUGCUGGAAUUAGAUCGAUUGGUAACAGCAUUUACCUUUCCCUAUGCCAAUAGUAACUGACUGCUCAAUUUCUUUGUGCAACUGCUGUGGCCUAUACUGGUGAUAGUGUAGUGUGUGUCUUUUAGCUAGGAAACGCAAUGGAGGUUGCUGGCCUACAAGUCUUCUUCCUCAAAAUGAAAAGGGAAACUGGGCGUUCCUCAAUUUUGUUGGUACUAGUCCUGGUAGCAUAUGGGUCAUUCACCAUCAUGUGUCAUGUCGAACGUCCAGAGAGUGAAUUCGUCAGAAGUUAACAUUUCAACACUGCCGGCUGGCCAGGAAAUUGUUUAUUGAAAAUUGGGUGGUGGGAGUGGUUAAUUAGUUCUAGCAUGACUUGUAAAUUGUCUACUCCGUAUAUUAUUCUUGUCAUUUCGGCGGAGUGGUUAUGCCAUCAGCUGUCUCACUAUAAUUAAUGGUUAGAUGAUGCUUGGGUUAAUUAUAUCCAAUUCAAUCAAAUUCUUAAUCGCAAGCCCCUCCAAAUUAACAUGUCCACACCCGGCAUGCAGGUCAAUAUUUUUCUUCUAAAUUCUAACGUGCGUCUCAGGUGGGACCUCCAAUCAUAAAGCCACCCUCCGCUACUUGGUUUCAGAUUAACAUGUCUCCUUGUUGUUGCACGUCGCACACGCAGAGAAGGCCGCCAGCCACAGGCCUUUGCAGGAAUGAAGAUCAUGGCUGGAUUUUACUUGAAACCUGCUUUGAUGCCAUUGCUGCCUCUGCCUGUUAUACUUUUCUAUUCUGCGCUUGUUAAUCAAUUUAAGCAAGUUAAACAGUGCAGGUCCAACUGGAAAGCUGCAGUGUUUGCAUAUAUUUCAACUGCGUGUACGGGUGAUCACUGUUGGCUUGUUGCUUGUGGUUAUGCAAAAAUGCAAAGGCAGGCACCCGCCUGCAUAAUUAACCUGGACAUGGAUGAAGGGUGGUGGUGGUGGUGCGGUCGCCGAUGAAGGGCGGGAUCAGCGUUGAGGCCGUCAUCAACGUCAUCAGGCGGUGCCAUGGUGGAUGCUGCAAAGUUUCCGGAAUGAUGAAAAUCAUCAAGGUUUGUCUGGAUUGGAUUGGAGUUGGGGGGAAAUGGCUAUGAAAUCUGAAACGUUUUGUGUUGCACGGCCUUCUGACCAAUUAUGUUGAUCAUAAGCUGAUGAGGCGUUUCGGAGUUUGGCGGUCUGGGUUUAAAUUACCAGGAACAAGAAUUACCAGGUUUCCUGUCACUAAUAAGAUGAGCAGUUCAAUGAUGACUCACGAUCUAUAGAAAAAAAUGAAUAUCUUCAUUUUUAAAUGAGUAUAUGAGCCCUUCAUUAUGUCCGUAUGUUCUAGAUUGCACCCAUAUUGCCUGAACUUAGUUCAUUCUUGCUGCAUAUAAUAUUUAGCAAAACCGGUUAUGAUGGUGAAGAGAUUAGAUUUUUACUCAAUCUUUUUUUGGUUCAUUUCCUGCACAACUAUCAUUUCAAUUCUAAAGAUAAUUCUGGUGAACAACAGACCAUCGCAGAAGCAGCAGGGGACUGGUUCUUUGACAGGAGAGAGGUGAAGGAGCUAGAUUGUGAAUAUCCCUGCAACUCGACGUGCCACAACCUGGUUUUUGAUAAGCCAUUCAAGGGAUGAAGUUUCUUUUUAUUUUUAUCCUUUUGUCGUGGCGUUGUAAAUUUAGCAAAUUGUGUAUAGAAAUUUAUAAACUAGACGCCAAAAGCUUAGUUGAAGUGAGGGAGACUGCGUCCGCAAGUACCCCGGCUAGUUCUGAAACUUCAGGUACUACUAGUUUUGUGGUCUCUGAAGAAACACAAGAAUUCAGUAGCCUAGAUGAAUUGAGUCUCCUGCGUUGCAUUUGCGGCGGUGUCGAACCACGCAUAUGGAAUUUGGAUGUAUACAAACAUGUAUGAAUGGAUUCUAAGUUUUGUAAACGUGAAUGCGAUAUGAAAGAAUCCCUCGAUGCCAUGAGUUUUCUUGUCUGACUGGAAGUUGUUGCUUCCAAGUUUUCAAGUCCAGUUCAGAAUGUACAUUUGAUGUGAACCUGAAUUCUUUGUGGCCUUUCGACAGUUUCUAUUGUUACAUUUCGGAAUUCGAAUUUGGAUGGAUUCAAAACAUGAAUGGAAUCGAGAUGGAAUUUCGUCCAAGUUUGCAUGGGGCCCAGUUGCCAGUGUGCGUCUGUCUGUGGAGAAAAUAGGUGGAAUACGCUUCUAUGCGCUUGAAAGCGUAAACGCACCAAAGUACGCUUUGCUCAAUCGUCCCAAAAAACAGCGAAUCCCCUCCCCCUCCGUUUCGCUCCUCGUGCUCCUGCGAUUCGAUGAUGGAUGCGCCGGCGCGUGUUCGAGGCGUUGAGGUGGCGGCGGCGGCGAGGUUUGGCGCGACGGAAGCGGGGUGCGAUGCGGGUCCUCCACCCGGCCGUCGAUUACAGUGGCGGCGGCGCUCCGGUAUCGUGGCCGACGAGGUUUCGGCGACGGAAGUCGUGCCGACGCACAAGACGGCACGAUGGUGGCAGCGGCGGCGGCGGCGGCGACAUUGCGUUCGUGGGGAGGCAUCGUCCACGGCAGCUUCAGCACAGAGAGGUCACCUCCCCGGCAAGGCGUGCCACUGAAGGCCAAAGGAGUUGCCUUAUUACCUGACCUCCUGCAAGAAGCGUGCCCCCCCCCCCCCACCCCCCCCAGCAGGUCCAUAUCUCCUCACUCAAGUUUAGUACAGCAUCAAAUGCUUCUUACUGCAACUAACUUUAGAAUCACUUUUGCUUGCCACCAUAGCAUCGAAUCUGAAGGAACUCCUUACAUUGAAGCUAGAACAAGAUGCUUCUUGUUACUUUGUACUAUUACUCUACCAACUAAAGCCAAAAGAAGGCAUUUGCGGUUGGCUGCGUGCACACACCGAAGCUUCUCCAAUCGCAAACUCCCAAACCAGAGCUUGAGAGCCAGGAGAGCACAUGGAGGCGACGGUGGUGAGCCUGGGCAAGGCCGGGCUCGAUGGAGCCCUGGGCUAUGCUAGGUCCAAGGCCGCAGAGGAGGUCGCCCUGCAGCUCGGCGUUGAGGGUGAUGUCUCCUUCAUUGCGGACGAGCUCGAGAUGAUGCAGUCCUUCCUCAUGACCGCCGACGAAGAGCUCGGCCAGCACAAGGUGCUUGCAACCUGGGUGAAGCAGGUCCGUGACGUGGCCUACAACGUUGAGGACAGCCUCAUGGAUUUCACUUUGUACUCGGAGAAGAAGGCGUCUUGGUGGUGCAGCCUGCACACCAUGGGGGAGCGGCUCCGCAUCGCCAAGGAGGUGAAGGAGCUUAGGGCCAAGGUGGAGGACGUCAGCAACAGGAACCUGCGCUACCGCCUCAUCAAGGCACGUUCCGGCUCCAAGACUUCUGCAGCCGAGGAACAGGCCAGUAUUGCCACUGCGGCAAUGUUUGGCAUUAACGAAGCAAGGCUUGCCGACCUGGAGAAGGAAAAGUCAAACGUGGAUCUCCACCAGCUGAUCACCAGUGAGGAGGAGGAACUUAGGGUAGUCACAAUUUGGGGAACAGGUGGUGAUCUUGGGAAGACAUCCGCCAUCAAGGAGGUUUAUGAUGACCCCAAGGUAUUAAAAAAGUUUGGAUUCCGUGCAUGGGUUAGGUUGACUCAUCCUUUCAAUCCAAAAGAGUUAAUCCAGUGCUUUGUGAGGCAAUUUUAUGAAAAAUUUCCUGAGAAACAUGGAGAGACAUGGAAAAGAAAAACUACAGGGGUUAAUUUUCUAAUGAAGAUGGAGAACAUGAGCGAAAGUGAGAUGAUUGAUGUGUUUGAUGCACAAGUGAGUGACAAUAGUUACCUAAUUGUGAUUGAUGACUUGUCCACGAUAGUGGAGUGGUCUUGCAUCAAAAAUUUCUUCCCUGACAACAGGAAACAAAGCAGAAUCAUAGUCUCUACACAGCAAGUUGAAAUUGCAAGCUUGUGCACAGAGAAACCUUACCAAGUGUCAGUGUUCAAGCAGUUGUCAUCCGAUCAAACUCUCUAUUUGUUCCACCAGAAGGCAAGUUCUUAUCUACUAUAUCUUCCGUCGUUAGUAUGUUUCUUUCUUCCUCUAUGGAUGACUCAUUCUUCUAUUUAUUUUCCGUUUAGUUGAACAAGCCCCCUAGCAAAGUCUAUAGAUGGAGAACUUUACUUGAAUUGGACCUUGAAAAUAUACAUUAGACUUGCAGAAAUUUAUAGGCGAUGCUUUAGAUUUGCCCCUAUAUCUUAACUUAUGACAAAAUCAUUGGGCAUGCCUCCUUGCAAUGCUAAACAUGAACGAAGCAACCUUUUAAAACCUUAGCUGUGUGCAACUGAAAGUUUCAGCAUAAAGAAUAAUUUAAAUUGCAUAAACUCAUAAAAUAAGUGCUCAUGUUACUUAUUUUGUCAACUGUGUACAUGGAAGAGUUUGCCUAACAUAUUGACUGGCUUACAAUUUUGCAUAGUAAGUCGAUUAUUUUUUAAGCAAACUUUAUAGUGGCGCUGGCACCAGUUUUACAGAAUUUUACAUUACCAUUUCUAGUACCUCUCAACUCAUGCUAGAUGUGAAAUAUGUAGAGUACAGAUACAUAAAUUGCUCAACGUUUGGUUUGCUCAGAUAUCGUCUUUAUGUCUAGGUUAUACCGGCAUCAAGUUCUGAUGUGCCUAUCUCUGACUCAAUCAAAGCUACAACAGCCAAAACUGAUCGACCAGUGCCCACCAAUGAAAUACAAGAGGAAGAUCAAGAACCUAAGGAUGCAGGUAGAGGCAAAGAUUCUGCCUCAACUGAUGGAAAGAAGUUUCAUCGAAGCAGGACAAUGACACUAACUGAUGAAAUGCUCACUGGGCGAGUAACAGACAAAUCUACAGUGAUUGGAUUAAUUGAUCCGACCAGGGGGGAGGGAGACUGUAAGGUGAUCUCUGUGUGGGGAAUGGGAGGUCUUGGAAAAACCACUCUUGUCAGGAUUGUCUAUCGAAGCCCACAACUUAGUGGCUGGAAGCAGGCUUGGGCCACUGCAUUGCGUCCAUUCAACCCUGAAGUGCUUAUCCGAAGCUUAGUUUUGCAACUACAGAAAGAUAUUCAGGAAGAUCCUGCUGGUGCAACAGCGACUGGUAAAAAGAAGGAAAACAUAGCAGUGAUGAAACUUCUAGACUUGAAGGAGGAGUUAAAUCGGCUUCUAAAUACACAGAAGUGCCUCAUUGUUCUUGAUGAUAUAUCAUCCACUGCAGAAUGGGAUUUGGUAAAAAAUUGUUUGCAAAAUGCUAGACGGGUCAUAGUCACCACGAGGGAGAAAAAUAUUGCCAAACACUGUUCAGGUGAAUACAAGAAUAUGUACAGUCUUCAAGGUCUCAAAGAUGAUGAUGCACUUGAGCUCUUUAAAAUAAAGGUUCUUCUUUAACUUAUUCUUUCUUCUGUUCCAUACAAAUUUUUCUUCAUACCGGUAACUUGGAUUUUAUAAGUUUAAAAGCUCAUAUGUUCUUGAAAAGUAAAGUGUGAACAUCAGUAGUCUUGUGCAAUAAAAUUAGAGCUAAGAAAAUGCCCACUGCAUUCCAAAUAGAUGGCACAAUUCUGUACUACUAUUUCAGAGACGUAACAUUUUGAGGCCCUGGGUCUCAAAUUUAAUUUGGAACUUCUACAGCCAACUUCAGUCUAGCUACUAGUGAACAUGCUGUGAGCAACAUCUAGGAUUAAAAAAAAUGCUUGGUACCAAGAUUGCUCAUUGAACAAAUUUAUCCUCUCCCCACCGUCUUCCACAUGUAUGAAAGAAACAACAGAACUUACCAAGGACACAAAUGCUUAGUGAACUUUGUAUAUGCAGCGAAGGAUAAAUGCCAUUUUGAAUGGAAAACUUAUCUCCUUUUUUUCUGCGUCUGUUUGAGUUCAAAAUUAAGGCGACACGACACUCCAUAGAAUAGGAAAACAAUCUUUAUUCUAAAAUUGUUCUAGUAUGCCCAAGCUGAGAUGUGCGCCAUGCUAGUUAUGUGCCAUCUGUGGCACGGCCGCGGCAAGUGCACCAUCCAAGGCAGCCACACCAUCCCUCGAGCCAUGUGCGACCGAAACGUGCCACACUUCUCAUGCACAUCCAUGUGGACAUGGCCUGCUACAUGGCUCGUCAUGACAGAAAGUUUAGCAGGACCUACAUUGUUAUGUAGAACAUGGUACCCACUGCACGUCUGCGCCAGACCACCCCUCGGCAACAUCACGGGAUGCGCCCAUGCCACUUCUGACUUUCUGAGCUGCUGAUUUGGCCGCUUCCAGGCCUGAGCAGCCAGCAGCCUUACACUACCACCACCAAAGGAAAGGGACCGCCGCCACUUCACAUCGCGCGGCCACUGGCUCAUGUGAGUGUGAUGCAAAGUGUGCCUGCGUCGAGCUGCUAAUGUUUUGUGCACCAAAUCAGGGCUGGAUGAACAUGAAUGGUGUUAUACAUACGUGUCAUACAAUUUUUAAACUGUUCCCUCAUGUACACUGCACGCACGAGUUUCCUAUGUAGUGUAUGAGUAUGUGUAAAUCUUUUGUAAAAAUAAUCUGUUUGCCUGACGUGAUAAGGUGAUAAGUUAUCUCUACGUUUAAAAAUGAGUAUGCAAUGUAUGUGUACUGCAUGAAGAAGACAGGAGUGUCUUUGCAAAAAACAUUUUUUUAAAAGAUUAUCUUUGCAAAUUCAGCUCAAUAUUUUGCAUUUUUUUCUGCACAGUGCAAAAGUAAACAGAAUGUAUGUUGUAGUACAAAUUUUUCGAUGCAAAUACCAAAACUGAAAAAAAAAACAUAUGCGUUGCAGGUAUUCAAGGACAACGGUGGAAACAUUGAUUUAGUCCCUGAGAUGAUGAAGCAAGCAAGGCUUGUCCUAAAGAAAUGUGAUGGACUUCCCCUUGCAAUAUCGACUAUAGGUGGUUUCCUAGCCAGCAAGCCAAAAACUGCUGUUGAAUGGAGGAAGAUGAAUGAUCAUAUUAGCUCCGAACUGGAGAUCAAUCCUGAACUUAGGACACUAAAGUCAGUUCUUAUGAGGAGCUAUGAUGGUUUGCCAUACCAUCUGAAGUCUGCUUUCUUAUAUCUGUCCAUAUUUCCAGAAGACCACAAAAUUAGGUGGGAUCGCUUGGUGAGGCGGUGGAUUGCAGAGGGUUAUUCAAGGGAUAUGCAUGGCAUGACUGGAGAGGAACUCGGUCGCAGGUACUUUGAUGAACUUUUGGAUAGGAGUAUGAUCUUGCCAGGGAACGAAGUAAACCAUUACAGUGGGAAAAUCAAGUCUUGCCAACUUCAUGACAUGAUCCGUGAGAUAGGCAUCACAAAGGUGAGGGAGGAAAAUCUUGUUUUCACACUGGAAGAAGGGUUUUGUUUGAGCAGUACACAAGGUGCAAUAUGACAUCUUGUCAUAGGCAGCAACUGGAAAAGGGAUGAAGAUGUAUUGGAGAGCAGGCUGGACUUGUCACAUGUACGGUCAUUGACUGUGUUUGGAGAGUGGAGACCGUUUUUCAUCUCCGAUAAGAUGAGGUUCCUCCGAGUGCUCGAUCUGGAAGAUACAGUAGGGUUAAGAGAUCAUCAUCUCGAUAAAAUCGGACAGCUCCAUCACCUCAUUUACCUCUCUUUAAGGGAAUGUGUGAACAUUUUCUGCCUGCCUAAUUCUUUGGGGAAUCUGAGGCACCUCCAAACACUAGAUGUUAGAGGUACACACAUUUUUGAGUUCCCAGCAACAAUCACCAAGCUUCGUAAGCUACAGCAACUUCGCACGACUGAAUGUUUGGAAAUAGCUGGCAGUGUCAAAGGAGAGGAUGACAUAUUUCAUAAUUACACAUAUCGUGUUGGUGUUUCUCUCUUAAACAACUUGCGGGGAAAGUCUUGUUUACUUUUGCUGUACACGAGUCAUGUCUUCUUGAGACCACAAGUUUUAAAUGCUGAUUUGAACAUGCAUGAUAUACUCAACCUAUACCGGUUUGCCAUGUUGUGUCUAGCAGAGACGGGUGAUAUCAAGGAUGAUCGGGUGUAUGGUUUGAAAGUUCCUAGAGGGAUUGGUAAGCUGAAGGCUCUGCACACACUCGGUGUUGUCAAUAUUGCACGGGGCAAGGGAAAGGUCACUCUGAACGAGUUGAAAGAGCUUACUCAGCUGUGUAAGCUUGGAGUAACUGGUGUCAGCGACAAAAACAGCAAUGAGUUGUGGUCUUCCAUUGCUGGUCACAAUCAACUUCGAUCUCUGUCAGUGAAAGGUGUGGACUCUUGGCACGAGUUGGAUGGUAGUUUUGGUGAGGGUUUGUUGCCACCAAGCUGCCUGGAGAGCCUCAAGCUGCGGGGCAAGCUAGGCAGAGUAACCUCAUGGAUCCAUCAGCUUCAGAAUCUCUCCAAGUUGACGCUAGAGUAUUCCAAAUUGGAGCAAGAUGAUGCCAUACAAGCCCUUGGGGUGCUACCAAAUCUUGCAGUACUACGCCUGAAGUGGAUGUCGUUCUAUGGGAAGCAGCUCCAUUUUCAAGGCUCAUCUUUCCCAAGCCUCGUGGUGCUGGGGCUUGAUGGAUUAGGUUACCUUGAAUCGGUGUUGUUUGUAGAAGAGGCAAUGCCUAGGCUGGAGCUGCUGCAAGUUGAUUUGUGCAGGCAGCUGAAGGACAUCUCGGGGCUGGCGGUCCUCACAAGCCUCAGGGAAAUUCGGCUGCGUGAUUAUGUUACCGAUGAAUUGAAGGAAGAGGUGCAGAGGCAGCAGGUAGCGGAGCAUCUGAAGCACGUGAGACUGAAUUUCUCGUGAAUUCCACAUGUAGGUGUGCGUGUAUCCAUCCUCCCUUGUUUUUGUUGUUGUGGUGGUGGUGGAAAUCUAUAUGUACUGUACAGCAUGCAUAUAUAUGUAGCGUACAAUUGAAUUCUCCUCCAUUGUACUCCCUCCGUUCCAUAAUUUUUGUCGAAAUCUUACAUGUAUCUAGACAAUUUUUAGGAAUAGAAUCAUAGAUACAUUUAUUUUUGGGCAAAUUUAAGACAAGAAUUAUGGAACGGAAGAAGUAAUUGACUAGAUGCACGUCAGCCGUGUAUUUCACUGACGAUGCCAGCUGCAAGGUCGCAUUUCAGCGUGAAACUCGCAGAUCCAGUCAAAGCGCCUGUACUCUGUGGCACUUGCUUCAUAUCGCCGCAGCAAGAGCUUCUUUUGGCUUUUAAACAAUAAGGGAAAAUCAUCUCUUGUAGUUUGCUAAUGCCUGGAGGCCGGUUCUCAAGGAAGGGCCAACUUGACAUAUGACUGCGCGCGGUCUGUUUAUUUUAUCCUCACGGUGGACACCAUGAAAGUUUAUGUGUGGAUCAAAAUGGAUGAAGCUUACUUAUGCAUGGGAUAGUUCAUACCGGUGAGUGUACGUAAGUGUGUGUGAUUGCUUGCGUGCGUCUGUACUGUUUUUCUAAAAAAUAAAUGAUGAAGCUUAUGUAUGGACAUAGAAGCGGUGGUUCUGAGUAAAUCAGGGACAGAUAAACAUUUUGAAAUGUGCAAUAUAUAAUACUAGCUGCGUGCUUAUACAACCAUUCUUUCUGCAUGCAAGUAGAUAUGGAGACCAAAGAUUAAGAUGAAGCGAACCAUACAGUGAGGUUAAGUAACCUCAAAUAACUGCAAGUACCCAACAAUAAUGAGGGACAAUUAAACCAUCCCCAUGCCGCGUCUAAAAGGAGAAAUACAUGCAGAGAAAAAAUAAUAAGUGUAAUUACACACUUAUAACUUUUUUUAAAGGAAUGACAUUCAUUCUUCAAGUAUCACAAUAUGUAAGCGUAUUUUUACUCGUGGCAGAUGUUACAAGCGGCAUUAAUUAAGAGCUUGGACAAGGAUCAGUGAAUCGGAACCUGAGAAGGGCAGCCAACUCCAAGCCAACGUGGACCGCAUGCAGCUUCGACAUCCGCUACAAGGUCCAAUUUCCAGUUAAUUGCAGCCACAAAUUAAGUCGCCAUGAUGAUCCCUAAUCACAGCACGGACAGUAAUCAGCAUUAAAAGAUGCAUCAACUUUAAGCUUAACCCAAUCAAUUGGAGGCUUGCACCAGCCCAACUUGUUCGCCCGAUCCAGCAGUUCCAGGUACUGAUCCAUGUAUGGAUGCAAAACAUCUCACUACAUUGUGGAAUUUAUUUAAAAAGGGCGUGGAAAUUGAUCACACGUCACCACAGCACAAGGGCCAUUUAAUUAUUGCAAUAUUUUUCAAGAACAAUUAAAGCUUAUUUCAACGAAAACCGGAAGAAGAAAACCAGAAGAAUUGUGGUCUAAAAUUGAAGGGUACUGAGAAAUCCAAUCCAAAUUCAGAGAUUAGCAACAAGGAUUCACUAAUUAAGGAUAUCACAGCCAGCAAAUUAGAGAGGAAAGGAUGAAGAGAAUCAACCUAGCAGAAAUUGCAGUCUCGUGCAGGAAACCAACUACAUCAGGCUGCGGGCGAGGGACAAAGAAAGGGAAGGGAUCGGCAGAUCGGCUCACCUGCCUGCGUCGCCGGAGGUUGGGAGGAGAAGCGGCCGAUGAACCGGACCCUAGAAAUCGAGUCUAGAGACGGCGGAGGAGCUUUGCGAGGCGGCGGCGCUGGUGCCGGCGGCAGCCUACAUGGGCGGCAGGAGGGCAGGCGACAAACUAGCCGUAGAAAACCGCCAAGAAGAGACCAGAGCCAAUCGCAGAGACCGCCGAGACCUACUCCAAAGUGAAGGAAGCAGAGGAGGCACAUUUUUAGCAAAUGAGCAAAGUACGGAGGGUUCGUGUUUUAUGUCUACACAUAUCAACCACAUGCUUUUUUUCGUACGUUGUUUGCUAAGAUCGAAUUAUACAAACACGUAUGGCGGGUCUCCACGGAGAGGCGAUAGGAAGAGGCGGCGACCCUAAACCCAUCUAGGGUUCUGUCCCAUUUGCCGGCGACACCGCCAAUCUGCUUCGCUUCCAUCCGCCGUUUAAGUCAUUUUUUAGUGUCUUCUUCGGGAUGGUGAGGCGACAGUUAUUUCGUGAAGUCAGAAUAAGAUCCUCCCCGCCAUGUCCUCGCUCCGGUGAUGCAUCUAGUGCUGGCGAAGAGCGUGUGAAGUCAUGUAACUGACGGAUCUCCUAGGACGACUAGACGUGGUCCAAACAUAUGUUUAUAUUUUUAUUGCUUUUGGAGGGUUUUUUUUGAAGUGGGGAGCCUAGCUCUGGCCUCUCCAUCAAGGCACACAGCUAAUUUAUUAAAGAGUAGCAAUAGUAUCAAAGUAUUACAAUCAUGCUUCAGACAAGGUGAUACAUGAAUGAAUCAACCAUCAAAAAAGUAGCAGCAAAAAAAACUCUAGAGAUCGAUUCUAUCAGUAUGCCGCCAUCCAGGGCGCUUGGAAAUGGAAGUCGUGAGCAGUCAAGGAGCUUUUUCACUGUUGUUGACGAUUACUAAUAGAAUGGUGGAAUUUUCAAAAAAAAGACAUGGUUUUUUUUUUGGUGUUCGGUGUCUUUGCCUAAACUAUUUUCCUAGAAUACACAAAGGACUUACGGAGCAUUUUUCGAUUUUGAGGCUAUACUCAGAUCAGUUUGAUAUAUACAUGACAUUUCAUUUACAAAACAAUCUGUGAUCCAAAUGCAACAAAGACUAGCUGAAAAUUGGGGGAACUUGCCUAAAAAAAUUGACGUGCUUGAUACUUCCAAAAACCGUUGGAGGAUACAAACAUGAAUUCUUCGUUUCGUAAACGUGAACGUGAUAUGGAAGAAUCCUUCUUGAUGCCAUGAGUUUUCUUGUCUAACUGGAAGUUGUUGCUUCCAAGUUUUCAAGUCCAAUUCAGAAUCCCUCUGUUUAUCAUGUUCUUUUUUCCAUGGCUUGGUAUAAGCUUCCACUGUUUCUGUUGUUACACAAGAGAAUCAGAGGAAAGGGAUGGAUGGGCAUUUCGGAAUUUGAAUUUGAAUGGAUACAAAACAUGAAUGGAAUCAAGACAAAAUUUCGUCCAAGUUUGCAUGGGGCCCAGUUGCCAGUGUGCGUCUUUCUGUGGAGAAAAUAGGUGGAAUACGCUUCUAUGCACUUGAAAGCGUAAACGCACCAAAGUAAGCUUUGCUCUAUCGUCCCCAAAAUCCGCGAAUCCCCUCCCUUCGCUCCUCGUGCUCCUGCGAUUCGAUGAUGGAUGCGCCGGCGCGUGUUCGAGGCGUCGAGGUGGUGGCGGCGGCCGCGGCGGCGAGGUUUGGCGCGACGGCAGCGGGGUGCGAUAUGGGUCCGCCACCCGGCCGUCGAUUACAGUGGCGGCGGCGCUCCGGUAUCGUGGCCGACGAGGUUUCGGCGGCGGAGGUCGUGCCGACGCACAAGACGGCACGACGGUGGCAGCGGCGGCGGCGACAUUUCCUUCGCGGGGAAGCAUCGUCACGGCAGCUUCGGCACAGAGAGGUCACCUCCCCGGCAAGGCGUGCCACUGAAGGCCAAAGGAGAUGCCUUAUUACCUGACCUCCUGCAAGAAGCGUGCCCCCAGAAGGUCCAUAUCUCCUCACUCAAGUUUAGUACAGCAUCAGAUGCUUCUCACAGCAGCUAAGUUCAGUAUCACUUUUGCAUUCCACCAUAGGCUAGCAUCGAAUGUGAAGGAACUCCUUACAUUCAAGCUAGAACCAGAUGCUUGUUAGUUUUUGUUACCCUACCACCACUAAAGCCAAAAGAGGUCAUUUGCAGUUGGCUGCGUGCACACCGAAGCCAAACUCACAAACCAGAGGUUGAGAGUUGAGAGCUACGAGAGCGCAUGGAGACGACAGUGGUGAGCCUGGGCAAGGCCGUGCUCGAUGGAGCCCUGGGCUACGCUAGGUCAAAGGCCGCGGAGGAGGUCGCAUUGCAGCUCGGCGUUGAGGGUGAUGUCUCCUUCAUUGUGGACGAGCUCGAGAUGAUGCAGUCCUUCCUGAUGACCGCUGAUGAAGAACGUGGCCAACACAAGGUGCUUGCCACCUGGGUGAAGCAGGUCCGCGACGUUGCCUACAACGUCGAGGACAGCCUCAUGGAUUUCGCCCUGUACUCGGAGAAGAAGGCAUCUUGGUGUGAAGGAGAGAAUAGAAAGAGGAUUGCCCACAAUCAUGGCUUUCCUGCUAUCUCAUAUAUAUAGGCAGAUGUACAAGAUAUACAUGGAAAGAAUCAACGCUAAUCCUCUACCAAAAUGGCCCGAUUAUAUGCAAUAUCUCGAGCACUAAAUAUGGAAGAGGAUAACAGAAUAUGGUAACAGAAUUUAUGAUUCGGUUUGCCUAACAUCCCCUCGCAGUCGCAACGGGAGAUCUCGGAUGCUGAGACUGGAUCGGAAGCCCAAGAAUAAUGGUGAUGGUAGGCCUUUGGUGAAGAUGUCCGCGAAUUGUCGAGACGAAGGCACAUGCAGAACGCGGAUAUGCCCCAGCGCAACACGAUCUCGAAUGAAAUGAAGGUCAAUCUCGAUGUGUUUGGUGCGCUGAUGCUGGACUGGAUUCGUGGACAUGUAGACAACACUGACAUUGUCACAGAAGACGAUGGUAGCACUGCGCAGAGGUCGGUGAAGCUCCUGGAGAAGUUGGCGGAGCCAACUGGCUUCAGCGACGGCGUUGGCGACAGCCCGAUACUCCGCUUCAGCGCUGGAGCGGGAGACUGUAUGUUGUCGCUUGGACGACCACGAGAUGAGGUUAUCGCCAAGAAACACACAAUAGCCGGAGGUGGAGCGACGAGUGUCCGGACAGCCCGCCCAGUCCGCAUCCGUAUAGGCGACGAGGCGAUCCGUGGACGAAGGAGUGAGCUGCAGUCCAUGGUGAAGCGUGCCCUUGACGUACCGAAGAACUCGCUUAACCAACAACAAGUGCUGAUCACGUGGGUCGUGCAUGUGGAGGCAUAUCUGAUGCACGGCAUAAGCGAUGUCUGGUCGAGUGAACGUCAAAUACUGGAGGGCAGCAGCAAGACUCCGGUACUCUGAAGGAUCGGCGACAGGAGGGCCGGCCUCGGCGGCGAGCUUGGGCGAUGUGUCCACGGGAGUCGAAGCAGAGUGGCAGGAGCUCAUGCCAGCACGCUCGAGUAUCUCGAGAGCGUACUGAGUCUGAGAUAGGAACAACCCCUGAGAGUCACGUCGAACGGCAAGGCCGAGGAAGUGAUGAAGCUCGCCCAAGUCAGUCAUGGCAAACUCGGCGCUGAGGGCGGCGAUGAGUCGCUCGAGUAAGAGCGAUGUAGACCCCGUGAGGAUGAUGUCGUCGACAUAGAGGAGCAAGUAAGCGGUGCCGAGUGUACCAUGGAGGAUGAAGAGCGAGGUGUCAGACUUCGAGCAGGUGAAGCCGAGGGUGGUGAUGAAGAUCGCAAAGCGGUGGUACCACGCACGAGGGGCUUGCUUCAAACUAUAGAAAGCGCGGUUGAGGCGGCACACAUGGUCAGGGUGAGCGGAGUCGACGAAGCCAGUGUGUUGGUGGCAAAAGACCACCUCGUCGAGACGCCCAUGGAGGAAGGCGUUCUUGACAUCGAGCUUGCGAAUCUUCCAGUUGGAGGAGAGAGCGACGGAGAGGAUAACCCGAAUGGUAGCUGGUUUAACCACGGAGCUAAAGAUCUCGUCGAAGUCAAUGCCGUGCUCCUGGGAGAAACCGCGCAGCACCCAACGUGCUUUAUAGCGAUCGAGGCUACCGUCCGGUUUGAACUUGUGACGGAAGAACCACUUGCCAGAGACGACGUUGGCGGUGGAGGGAGGACGCACAAGAUCCCACGUGUCGUUGGCGAGUAAGGCGCCGUACUCAGCAGUCAUAGCAGCCAGCCAGUUCGGGUCUUUGAGAGCACCACGAACAGACUUAGGGAUUGGUGAGGGAGCGACAACCGGAGCAGCGUGGAGGUUGAGGCGCAGGCAUGGACCGAUGACCUUGCCAGCCUGACGACGGGUGAGCAUCUGGUGGCCAGGUGGCGGGGACGGCGGCCAACGCGGUGUCGAAGGCGAGCUCGACUGAGGAGACGCGGAGCCAGAGGGCGCGUCAGCCCUGGCGUCGCUGGAGGACGCGGGCUCGUGGGCCGGCGUAUGCUGGGCCGUGGAGGAGGUCGAGCGGCCCAAGGAGGCCGGCGCGUGGUCCGGCGAGGAGUGGCCCGAGAAGGCCGGCGCGUGGGCCGGCGUCCGGGGCGUCAAAGCAGCAGGCGCAGGGGAGGCUGGGGGCGGUCCCGCGGACCGGCGCGCCCCAGCAGACCGACGCAGCCUAGCGUGCAUGGGUGGCACGAGGACCGAGGCAGGUACGUCGAUCGUGUCGUCAUCCGGAGGUGAUGAAGACUGCUGCAGGGUAGACACAGAAAAAUUUGGGGAAAAAGGAAAACAAGUUUCGUCAAAGACCACAUGGCGAGAAAUAAUGAUGCGACGAGACUCGAGAUCCAUGCAGCGGUAACCGCGAUGAUUAGAGGGGUAACCAAGAAACACACAGGCUGCCGAGCAGGGCGACAAUUUGUGAGGCAUGGUGGAGGAGAGGUUGGGAUAGCAUAGACAUCCGAAGGUGCGAAGAAGGGUGUAGUCAGGUGAUUUAGAAAAAAGGGCGAAAUAGGGACAUGGCGCAGUGGAUGCUUUGGUAGGUAAUCUAUUUAGGAGAUACGUGGCUGCAUGAAGAGCUUCAACCCAAAUUUGGAGGCAUGCUCGCUUGGAUGGAAAGUGUGCGGACUAUGUCGUUAACAGUGCGAAUGAUACGUUCGGCUUUACCAUUUUGUGGGGAAGUGUAAGGACACGAGAAGCGCAGAAGAACCCCAUGUGUGGUGGAGAGGUCCUGAAGGGCGCGGCUGUCGAAUUCACGUCCGUUAUCACACUGAAUGGCUUGAAGGGAGAGAGAAAACUGUGUGGCAACAUAAGCACGAAAGUUAGAUAGAAGGGAAAAACUUCAGAUUUUUUACGGAGGGGAUACGUCCACAAGUAAUGAGUGAAAUUAUCUAAAAUGACAAGAAAGUAUUUAUAACCGGAAACACUCUCAAUAUUUGAAGUCCACAAAUCACAAUGGAUUAAUUCAAAAGGCCUAAGAGUACGAGUGGUAGAAGGCGAGAAAGGUAAACGGACAUGACGACCAAGUUGACAAGCAUGGCAUAAACUAGAGCCCCUGUGCACUUUAUUAAUGGGGAGCGACGAGGACGACACGAGGCGCCGGAACGCGUCGGGGCCAGGGUGACCAAGACGGCGGUGCCAAAGAGUGGAGUCGGCUGUGAGGGCGGUGAGGGCGUGCGGCAAGGUGGUGACUGGAUAGAGGUCCCCCGAGCUAUUGCACCUGAGAAUCACGGCGCCUGUUCUGAGGUCCUUCACAGAAAAACCCCAAGGGUCAAAUUCAACAGAACACAAAUUGUCAAGAGUAAACUGACGAACAGAAAUUCGAUUUUUGACUAUGCGAGGAGUGACAAGAACAUCACGAAGAGUGAGAUGAGGAGAGGAGGUAAAAAUAGAAGCAUGACCGGAGUGAGAGACAGGAAUAGAGGAACCAUCUCCGACCAUGAUAUGUUUAUGUGGAGGAUUAGAAGAUAGAGAGUUGAGACUACUGGCGUCCGAAGACAUGUGAGCGGAUGCUCCAGUGUCCAUGACCCACUCCUGGGGAGCCUGCAAGCUCAUGGUGUUGAAGUGGCUCGCGAGGGUGGAGGGGUCCCAUGUCGGUGUCGAGGGAGUGCCGUAGGCCUGGUAGCCGUCGUAGGUGAAUGUCGUGGGCGCGUACGACGGAGCAGGCAACGCCAUGUAGCCCUGGGCCGGCGUGGUGGCAGGGCAUGGGGGCGCGGACCGAGGAGACCGGCGCUGUGGCUAGGGCCGGCCAUCGGGUGCAUGUAGAUGGCGCCGGUCCAGGGGUGCUGCAGGCUCGGGAAGGCAGGGGCGUGGCCUCCCCCGUGGUGCUUCUUCUUGCCCUUGUUGCGGCCGGAGCCGUUGCCAGGGGCGUUGCCAAGGACGCCGUAAGGGGAGCCGAAGCCGGGGCGCCCGGCGUGAGGCUGCUGCGGCGGAGGAGCAGGGCCGCCGCGAGAGCCCCCAACAGGAGGGGCUACGUAGAAGACCGAUGGCGAGGAUGAACUCGUGGUGGAGGGCUUGAGUUCCUGGAGAAGAAGCAUGUUGCGGAAUUGAAGAAAGGUGGGGAAAGGCGUGAGGAGGGGUGCGAGGUUGCCGAUGUCCUUGUAGUGGUCGUUGAGGCCCUUGAUGGUGUUCCACACCAGGGCGUUGUCGGAGACCGGGGCGUUGACGUCGGCGAGGGCGUCGGCGACCGUUUUCUGCUCGAGGCAGUAGGCGGUGACGCUCUUGUCCCCUUGCUCUAUGUUGCGGAACUUCUGGCCGAGGUAGCCCGCGUGCGCCUGCUGGUUGUCGCGGAAGAGGGCGGCGAUGCCGCCAAGGACGGCGAAGGACGUGCUUCCCGCGGCCAUGACCAUGUCGGCGAUGUCGGGCAUGAUGGAGCCGUACAGCCAGCAUAGGACGGUGGAGUCCAUCCGCUGCCACUCCUCGUCGUCAAGAGGAGUAGCGGUGGAGAGGUGAUCGGCAAGGGCGUAUUGGGUGACGGCGAUUUGGAGGAAGUUGCUCCACUUGGUGAAGUUCGAAGCCUUGAGGUUGAGAGUGACCGGGAUGAGGCUCUUGACGUUCUGAACAGCAGUGGCUUGAGCCCAUAGGGCGGCGUGAGGAUGAGGCUGGGCGCCGUCGUCGGACAUGGCUGCAGUGGAAGGGGAGGGAGAGGAGGCGCGGCGCACAACCUUAGGGCGGCGGCGGUAGUGGAGAUAGACAGGCGGGGAAGAUCGUUUGGCUGAUACCAUGAAAGAGAGAAUAGAAAGAGAAUGAUUGCCCACAAUCGUGGCUUUCCUGCUAUCUCAUAUAUAUAGGCAGAUGUACAAGAUAUACAUGGAAAGAAUCAACGCUAACCCUCUACCAAAAUGGCCCGAUUAUAUGCAAUAUCUCGAGCACUAAAUAUGGAAGAGGAUAACAGAAUAUGGUAACCGAAUAUAUGAUUCGGUUUGCCUAACAUGGUGGUGUAGCCUGCACACCGUGGGGGAUAGGCGUCGCAUCGCCAAGGAGGUGAAGGAGCUUAGGGCCAAGAUGGAGGAUGUGAGCAACAGGAACCUGCGCUACCGCCUCAUCAAGGAGAGCUCCGGCUCCAAGCCUUCUCCAGCAGAGGAGCAGGCCAGCAUUGCCGCUGCGGCAAUGUUUGGCAUCAACGAAGCAAGGCUUGCUGACCUGGAGAAGGAAAAAUCAGAGAUGGACCUCCACCAGUUGAUCACCAGUGAGGAGGAGAAACUUAGGGUGAUUGCAGUGUGGGGAACAAGUGGCGAUCUUGGGAAGACAUCUGCCAUCCAGGAGGUUUAUGACGACCCCAAGAUAUUGGACAAGUUUGGAUUUCGCGCUUGGAUUAGGUUGAUGCAUCCAUUUAAUCCAAAAGAGUUCAUCCAGUGCCUUGUGAGGCAAUUUUAUGAAAUUUUUCCUGAGAAACAUGGAGAGUCAUGGAAAAGAAAAACUACAGGGGUUAAUGUUCUAAUGAAGAUGGAAAACAUGACCGAAAGUGAGAUGGUUGAUGUGUUUGAUGCACAAGUGAGUGAGAGUAGUUACCUAAUUGUGAUUGAUGACUUGUCCAGGAUAGUGGAAUGGUUUUGCAUAAAAAAGUUCUUCCCCGAGAACAAGAAACAAAGCAGAAUCAUAGUCUCUAUGCAGCAAGCUGAAAUUGCAAGCUUGUGCACGGAGAAACCUUACCAAGUGUCAGUGUUCAAGCAGUUGUCAUCCGAUCAAACUCUUUAUCUGUUCCACCACCACAAGGUAAGUUCUUAUCUACUAUAUCUUCCGACGUUAGUAUGUUUCUUUCUUUCCUUUAUGGGUGAUGACUCAUUCUUCUGUUUAUUUUCCGUUUAAUUGAACAAACCCCCCUACCAAAGUCUAUAGAUGAAGAACUUCAAUUGAAUUAGACGCUGAAAGAUAUACAUUAGACUUGAAUUAUGGUGAUGCUUUAGAUUUGCCCCUAUAUGUUAACUUGUGACAAAAUCAUUGGACAUGCCUCCUAGCAAUGCUAAACAUGAACGAAGCAGCCUUUUAAAACCUUUGCUGUGUGCAACUGAAACUUUAAGCAUAAAAAAUAAUUUAAAUUGCAUAAAGUAAGCGCUCAUGUUACUUAUUUUGUGAACUGUGUACAUGGAAGAGUUCCCUAACAUAUUGACUGGCUUAAAAUUUUAUAUAGUAAGUCCAUUGUUUUUUAAGCAAACUUUAUAGUUUUGCUGGCAUCAAUUUUACAUUACCAUUUCUCGUACCUCUCAGCUUGUGUUUAAUGUGAAAUAUGUAGAGUACAGAUACAUAAAUUGCUCAACGUUUGGUUUGCUCAGAUAUCGUCUUUAUGUCUAGGUUAUAUCGGCACCAAGUUCUGAUGUGCCUAUCUCUGACUCAAUCAAAGCUACAACAGCCAAAACUGAUCGACCAGUGCCCACCAAUGAAAUACAAGAGGAAGAUCAAGAACCUAAGGAUGCAGGUAGAGGCAAAGAUUCUGCCUCAACUGAUGGAAAGAAGUUUCAUCGAAGCAGGACAAUGACACUAACUGAUGAAAUGCUCACUGGGCGAGUAACAGACAAAUCUAAAGUGAUUGGAUUAAUUGAUCCGACCAGGGGGGAGGGAGACGGUAAGGUGAUCUCUGUGUGGGGAAUGUGAGGUCUUGUAAAAACCACUCUUGUCAGGAUUGUCUAUCGAAGCCCACAACUUAGUGGCUGGAAGCAGGCUUGGGCCACUGCAUUGCGUCCAUUCAACCCUGAAGUGCUUAUCCGAAGCUUAGUUUUGCAACUACAGAAAGAUAUUCAGGAAGAUCCUGCUGGUGCAACAGCGACUGGUAAAAAGAAGGAAAACAUAGCAGUGAUGAAACUUCUAGACUUGAAGGAGGAGUUAAAUCGGCUUCUAAAUACACAGAAGUGCCUCAUUGUUCUUGAUGAUAUAUCAUCCACUGCAGAAUGGGAUUUGGUAGAAAAUUGUUUGCAAAAUGCUAGACGGGUCAUAGUCACCACGAGGGAGAAAAAUAUCGCCAAACACUGUUCAAGUGAAUACAAGAAUAUGUACAGUCUUGAAGGUCUCAAAGAUGAUGAUGCACUUGAGCUCUUUAAAAGAAAGGUGCUUCUUUAACUUUUAUUCUUUCUGCCCUUCCAUACGAUAAUAUAUUCAUUAAGUUUUCCGUUAACUCAGAUUUUAUAAGUUUAAAAGCUGAUAUGUUCUUGGAAAAUAAAGUAUGAACUUCAAUAGUCUUGUGCAAUAGAAGUAAAUAUUAGAGCUAGGAAACUGCCCACUGCAUUCCAAAUAGAUGACAUGAUUCUGUACUAUGUCACAGACCUGACAUUUUGAGGCCUUGGGUCUCGAAGUUAAUUUGGAACUUUUAGAACCAACCUCAGUCUAGCUACUAGUGAACAUACUGUGAGCAACGUCUAGGAUUUUUAAAAAUGUGCUUGGUACCAAAAUUGCUCAUUGAACAUAUUUACCCCCUCCCACAUGCAAAGCAGCUACCAGCCCUUGAGACAUGCCGCACUUCACAUGCACGUCCAUGUGGGCUUGGCCUGCUACAUGUCUCGUCAUGUGAGAAACUUUAGUGGGACUUGGCUCGUUACAUAGAACAUGGUACACACUGCGCCAAACCACGCCUCCGCAACAUCACGGAUUCGCUGACAAGCCGCCACUUGUGAGCUGCUGACUUGGCCCGCUAGCCGCAUAAUGCUACCACCAGUGGAAAGGGACCGCUGCCGCUUUGCACCACCUGGCCACUGGCCCGUGUGGUGCCAAGUUUGCCCAUGUCAAGAUGCUAAUGUUUUGUGUACCAAAUCAGGGUAGGCGGAACAUGAGUGGUGUUAUGCAUUUAUGUGUCAUACAAUUUUACACUUUUUCUCAUGUACACUGUACUUAUUAUGUAUGAGUAUGUAUAUAUCGUUUGUAAAAAUAAUCUGUUCGCCUUGCAUGAUAAGUAACAUGAUAAGUCACGUUUAAAAAUGUGUAUGCAAUGUAUGUGUACUGUAUGAAAAACAAAGAAACAUUCUUUGUAAAUUAAGCUCAAUAUUUUUCCUUUUUCUGCACAGUGCAAAUUUAAACAUAUUUAUGUUGCAGUACAAAUUUUUCGAUGCAAGUACCAAAACUGAAAUGUGUUGACAUAUAAUACAUUAAUUUCUUUGACAACUAAAACCAUAUGCGUUGCAGGUAUUCAAGGACAACAGUGAAACCAUUGAGUUAGUCCCUGAUAUGAUGAAGCAAGCAAGGCUUGUCCUAAAGAAAUGUGAUGGACUUCCCCUUGCAAUAUCGACUAUAGGUGGUUUCCUCGCCAGCAGGCCAAAAACUGUUGUUGAAUGGAGGAAGAUGAAUGAUCAUAUUAGCUCCGAACUGGAGAUCAAUCCUGAGCUUAAGACAAUAAAGUCAGUUCUUAUGAGGAGCUAUGAUGGUUUGCCAUACCAUCUGAAGUCUGUUUUCUUAUAUCUGUCCAUAUUUCCAGAAGACCACAAAAUUAGGUGGGAUCGCUUGGUGAGGCGGUGGAUCGCAGAGGGUUACUCAAGGGAUAAGCAUGGCAUGACUGCAGAGGAACUUGGUCGUAAGUACUUCGAGGAGCUUUUUGAUAGGAGUAUGAUCUUGUCAGGGGAAGAGGUGAAUCAUUACAGUGCGCAAAUCAAUUCUUGCCAACUUCAUGAUAUCAUCCGUGAAAUAUGCAUCUCAAAGGCAAGGGAGGAAAACUUUGUUUUCACACUGGAGGAGGGUUUUGUUUGAGCAGUACACAAGGUGCAAUACGGCAUCUUGUCAUAGGCAGCAACUGGAAAAGGGAUAAAGAUGUGUUGGAGAGCAUGCUGGACUUGUCACAUGUACGGUCAUUGACUGUGUUUGGAGAGUGGAGACCAUUUUUCAUCUCUGAUAAGAUGAGGUUCCUCCGAGUGCUCGAUUUGGAAGACACAAGAGGGUUAAGACAUCAUCAUCUUGAUCAAAUCGGGCAGCUCUGUCACCUCAUUUACCUCUCCCUACGAGAAUGUAUGAACAUUUUCUGCCUGCCUAAUUCUUUGGGGAAUUUGAAGCACCUCCAAACACUAGAUGUUAGAGGUAUGCGUAUAUUUGAGUUGCCAGCAACAAUCACCAAGCUUCUUAAACUACAGCACAUUCGCACAACUAAAUGUUUGCGAAUAACUGGCAAUGUCAAAGGAGAGGAUGACAUAUUUCAUAAAUACAUAAAUCUUGAUGGUGUUUCUCUGUUGAAGAACUUGUGGCACAAGUCUUGUUUACUUUUGCUGUGUACGAGUCCUGCUUUCUUGAGACCACAAGUUUUAGAUGCUGAUUUGGACAUGCAUGAUAUACUCAACUUAUACCGGUUUACCAUGUUGUGCCUAGCAGAGAAUGGUUAUAUCUGGAUGAUAGGAUGAUCUAUGGUGUUGAAGUUCCUGGAGGGAUUGGUAAGCUGAAGGCCCUGCAGACACUGGGUGUUGUCAACAUUGCACGGGGCAAUGGAAAGGCCACUCUGAACGAGUUGAAAGAGCUCACUCAGCUGCGUAAGCUUGGAGUAAGUGGUGUCAGCGGAAAACAGCAAGGAGUUGUGGUCUGCCAUUGCUGGUCACAAUCAACUUCGAUCUCUGUCAGGGAAAGUGUUCGCAAUUUGGCCAAGUUGGAUGGUAGUUUGUGUGAGGGUUUGUUGCCACCAAGCUGCCUCGAGAGCCUCAAGAUGUGGGGCAGGCUAGUCAGAGUAACCUCAUGGAUCCAUCAGCUUCAGAAUCUCUCCAAGUUGACGCUGGAGCGUUCCAUGUUAGGGCAAGAUGAUGCCAUACAUGCCCUUGGGGUGCUACCAAAUCUUGCAGUUCUACGCCUGAAGAGGUGGUCGUUCGAUGGGAAGCAGCUCCAUUUCCAAGGCUCAUCUUUCCCAAGCCUCGUGGUGCUGGAGCUUGAGGGAUUAUUUAAACUUGAAUCGGUGUUGUUUGAAGAAGAGGCAAUGCCUAGGCUCGAGCUGCUGCAGGUUGAUCGGUGCCUGCUGAAGGAGAUCUCCGGGCUGGCAGUCCUCACAAGCCUCAGGGAAGUUCGGCUGGGUGAUUAUGUUCGCGAUGCAUUGAAGGAAAAGGUGCAGAGGCAGCAGGUAGCGGAGCAUCUGAAGCACGUGAGAGUGAAUCUCUCGUAAACUCCAUAUAUAUACAUGUGUGUGUGUAUCGGCCAUCUUCCCUUGUUUUUCAUUUUAUUGUUGUUGGGGUCGACAUCUGUAUGUACAUCACUGUGUACUUUACAACAAAGACUAGCUGAAAAUUGGGCGAACUUGCCUCAAAAAAAUUAUGCGCUUGAUUCUUCCAAAACCCGUUGGAGGGUUGUCAACGACCCUCUCAGCUGCUAGCGGGAUUGGAUCUGGGUGAAGUUCUCCUUUGUUGAUCUCUUCCUUGGGAGCCUCUUAAUUCUUGUCCCUCUGCUAUGCAUGGGAUCUUCAUCUUCCUCCUCCACUGAGGAAUCAAUAGUCACGGUGUUUGAGCUCGAAAAACAAAGAUUGUUUGGAAACUUUCGAUGCACAUGGAGGGGUAUAUGUUAGAUGCACAUGGACGAGCAUUGGUAGGAACUUCCAGAAGACGUCAGAAGAUGUGGGUGAAAAAAAUCUGAAAUUCAACAACUCGAAAACAAAGAUUGCUUGGAGACUUUUGAUGCCAGAUUAGAUGCACAUGGAGGGGUAUAUGUUAGGUGGUUUUUUUUUAAGGAUUUGGAGAAAAAGAUGUAGUCGUCCUAGGUCGCAAUCUCUCGCAAAUGGGCCUUGAGCUGGGCUGGUCGCCAGGAGAGGCACUCUAGGCCAGGCCCCAGCCCAUGGAGCGACGUGAGAGGGAGACCCGACCAGAGCAACCAGAAGCGAUAUAAAAAAAAAAAGGAGCCCCAAGCCCCAUUCCGUUCCUCCCCUUCCUUCUCCCCAAACCGCAACGGCCACCGCCACCGCGCUCCUGCUCCCCUUCCGCGGAUUCCGCUCGAACCCUCGCCGGAUUCCUCCCCAGAAAGGGCGGCUAGAGAACUUGGCUUCAAAAAUUUGGAGAAAUAUCAAAAUGCGAUCGAUGCGACUAGAGAACUUGACUUCAAAGAUUUUUGUUAUAAUUUUCGGUUUAUGCGAAAUCUUUGUUGUCGCCUUAAUUUUUUGAUCAGUUUUAUUUUGUUCGUUGAAUAAACAAAGUCAGAUCGUUGUUCUAAAAAACAAAAAGAAAAAAAACGUUAGAGAUAAAUGAGCUGAGAGCUCCCACCCUAGGCCUAACUAAGAAAAUGUAGUUUAAUAAUUCAUGUGAUGUAAAAAAUUUGUGAACAAUUGAUACAGUCUGACCAAAAAUGUGUGGUUCUAUUGGCAAAUUAGCAAAAACUGGAGCUAGUGAGACGGGUCCUAAAAACCGUGGUUUCUUGAAAUUUACCCUGUUUAUUUUGCCAAAUAUCUAUGGGUGUGUCCAUAUCUCAGGCGCCUGAAUUUUUAAGUAAAAGAUUUAAUUUUUUGUCGAUAGUAUCAAAGUCACUCAUUUCCCUUUCGCUGCGAAUUUUAAAACACAAUCUAGAUCCAACGGCUGAACAAUCAACUUAUCUCUAACUAAAAAUUAUGCAACUUGGGUAUAUCAAACCCGAAUAUCUAUUUUGUUAAAUAUAUAAGUAUGUAGAUGUUUCUGGAGAAAAAUAUAACUAUAUAUUUACUCUUGCAUGUAAAGACAUAACUUCAUAAUUCACCUCCAUGUAUUUAUGCUUACUUGAACAUUGGAUUAUUAGAAAAAUAUAUAGCAUUAAGAUUAUUACACACUUGAUAGUUUAUACCUGUAUACAAUGCGACAUUGUUUUUUCAUAAAAUCCAUUUAUAUAUUGAAUGUUAAGAAAAUGUUAUAACAAUCUUUCAAAAUACAAACAAGCACAUUAAAAUACAGUUUGGAACUAUAAAAUAUAAAUAUUAAAUGUUAUAUGUUGUUUUACGAAUCGCGGUACCUAAACAAUUUUUUGUCCAUCGCUCAUGCUCCCCAGCCCCAUCAAUCCUCGCCUCCCUGCCGCCCUAUCCAAGAUCUUGGAGCUUCCCCUCGCCUCCCCGUCGCCCCAAACCCAAGAAGACAAGAACCCGGCGAUGGCCAGGAGGCUGCGGCCUCAGGGAGACGGGGCGCAGGCGCUCCAGGAAGGGCUCCCUCGACGCGGAUCCGUACACCGUCUACUCCGGAGCGCGGUCGACGGCAGUGCCUCCAGAGCCCUCCUCGCCACUGUGCACCUUGCCUGGCGUCUCCUCCCCUUCAGGAACGUGACGAGGGACAGUGUGACGACACGCAUGGCCAGGAGGGCCUGGUGCGACAACGUGUCCCCCGCACGCGACCCGCUUCUCUGGCGAGCGCGGGCACAGGCCGCCGCCGCCGUCGACGCCAUCAUCUCCAGUCGACGGCACGCGCUCGCCAUUGCCAGCCACCUCCCCACCUGCUGCGUACGAGCCCACCCCGCCAUGGCCUCGACUUCCUCCGGAUCGUUCUCCGCCACCUGCUGCGUACGAGUCCACCCCGCCAGACACAUGGAACGUGAGGAGUACAAAGGCCGCCGCCACCACAGCCAGCGCGGGGCCACGCACGCUUCGUUCAUCAGCUUCUUGAUCAUCAUCGUUGGGCGACGCCCCCCCCCCCCCACCCCCGCCGCCGCCUCAACAGCCACCACCACCUCAGCAAUUCGUAAGUCCCUCUCCUUGAAAUCUUUCUUGAAAUUUGUCCCAUUGAUUAUGCUUACGUUACAGUUGAGGGAGAGGAUUGUGCUACAAUUGCCUGUUUGGAGUAGAUUUGGAUGUUGAUUCCUUAAAAUCUUGGUGCCUCUUGUGUAGCUUGUGUUGACAAACUGUAACUUGAAAUUUCGGUUUAGGAAGUUAUGUGCGUUUUCAUUUAGUUCUCAAGUCAUUCGUGAUGACUUUCUGCUCCACUGCACACUUUGGUGGUCAGUACUAAUACUUAUGUGUUCAUCCUUCAUGUAUGUGUAAAUACAAUUGUGUAUGUGACAAAUAGAAUUUUGUGGAUAUGAUCAAGACAAACAUUGCUUGUACUAGUCUUACUGAACUUACCUCUAGUUUUAUUGGCAGCCAAAUGCACCUCCUAAUUAUAAGAUUCUCAAUAUUUGGGAUCUAUUGAACUUCUUAUUUACAGAAAAAACCUGCUGCACCUAGUGUCCUUACUUCAUGAUUAAUUGAAAGAACAUCCUGAGUUUUAUGUUGUCUGCAUCGAACAGAAUGUUUGGUUUGUAUUGACAGAAAUAUCCUGACUCGGAGCUAAUCUUCUGUGUCGUCUCCUUAUGAGCAUUUAAUUUUUAUGUGCAUUGAAACAUGUUCUACCUACCCCAAUGUACUUGAUGAACGAUGACUUACUUUUGAUAGAUGAUUAUCUGUAUCCCAUAGCUAGAGCCGGAUUCUUGCAUUCAGUGAUUCAACAGUGGUCAGCUCUUUCAUGCCCAUUAUUUUAAUAUGAGAACGAACUGCUUUUUGCUCACUGGGUUGUGUUCCUGCUCUUAAUAGAUUUUGUUGUGACCACAUGAUUUUAUCUCUUUGCUCCAUAUAUUUGUGCUAAUACUUCCGCAUGAAUCAUUUAACUUAAAACAGUGCAAUGAAAUCAGUAGAGUUACUAUCCAGAAAGCCUUUCUUCCCUUGGGUUUUUGUUGUUGUGAAAUAAUAGGUGUAACUUGUCUCUAAAUUGAGCAAAAUUAGCCCUAAUGGCCUCCUGACUUGCAUAAUGUGGAUUUCUCCGUCCCUGCCUGCAAAUACCUUUCUGUUUUCUUUCCUGACAUGGUAACACAGUUAUUGAUAACCUAAUAUUUAUUUGAAUGUGUAAGCUCUAUCCGCUAUAUAUGUUCAGAUUAUUGUCAUGGCUGAUUUGAUCUCUUGCUAUGUUGCUCACUAAAUUGUCGUCUUGCUGAUGGUCACUAAUUAGGAAUAUUUUUUGCUCUUCAUUUUUUCCAUAGAUCGUCAAUGGUGAAGUAGUCCCAGAUGGGACUGUCGAUCACUAUAUCACCUAUUGCAGAUUAGUGCCUGAGUGCUCGGCGAGGCAGACCGUGUGCCACUUCUGUAUUUUCGAGAUUCAGAAGUCCCAGAAGUUCAUUGUCUGUGAUGUGAGUAGUUAAUUUCUAGAUCUCGUACUUAAAGAAAAUCUUCUCUUUAAUCUUGAGCUAGUGUUAAUUUCUUGCCAUUGGCAGCUGUUUUGGCACUGCCGACAACACCAUGUUCGCGAAGGCGGGCUUGGUGUUCCUUGCAACGUGGCGGGUUGCAACGCGAGGGUGCGCGCAGGCCCUGAUCAGGCACGUCACGUAAUCUUCUGUCACACUCUGCCGCACGACUGAUGGAACGCGGCUCAGGCAGGUACAACUAGCUGUCAACUGUCAGUUCCAUCCUUCUUUCGUACAUCCCGUUUAGCCUAUAUUUCUCGCCGUCAACUGCACAUCAUCCAAUUCUGCACGCCACAUAAUCAUUAGCUUAUGUAGAUGUAUGUUACUCCCUCCGUUUUUAAAUUCUUGUCUUCAAUUUGUCAAAAUAUGGAUGUAUUUAUUCUUAAAAAACGUCUAGAUACAUGUAAUAUUUCGACAAGAAUUUAGGAACGGAGCUAGUAGUAAACUUCAGAGAAAACUUGUUCGUUGUAGCUUAUAUUCUUGGAAUCUUGUUUUUAUAAGUCGCAUAUUCAUAUCUCCACUACUGUCCUUGAUUUAAAUAAUUCAGUUCGUCAUUUUGUACCGUUUACCGCUAUUAGGAGCUAUGGGACCUAAAAAAUCUAAUCAGUCACUCACUUUGCCCUUGAUGUCAAUGCAGUGUAGAGAAAGAUCAGACCAUGUCAAUGCAGUGUAGAUAAAGAUCGGAGCAGGAGUAGUGACAGUUCGCCUCAGAAGCUUCGCCUCCUCGGACAUGACGACAACAGAAAUGGGUGUCUGCUAUUGCAAGAUAGAUAGAUACAUUGAUAGAUAUAGGUUCAGAAAACUCAGUAGCUCUCGUGCUACUUGUGCUAGUUAAACUUGAUCCGCUCCACCGAAAGGUUCGGUGCGAUAGCUGACAGUACUACUCUGGGAAUUCUUAUUUGGCAGAACCACUACUGUUUUACCUUGGUUCAAUCAUAACCACUGCCGUUUUACCUUUGGUUCAAUCAUAACUAGACGAAAAGGCGCGCUUCGCCCGUGUAAUUGAAUUCGUGGAAUUUGUAUUUCGGUUGUGAUUUAUUUUCUUUGUUUUUGUUUGAUGAUGUAUAUAGUUUGGUGUAAGCAUGUAUAAACAUACGACUGACAGGCACCUUUUGCUUAGCCAUGGAUUCUUGCAAAUGAUCCGCUUCCGUUCUAGUGGAUGCUUGGAAACUUUUUUUUCUUCUUUUAUGUGUAUUCACUGGCAGUUAAAUUCAUUUUAUUAAAAUUUGAACCUAUAUCAAUUACUCCCUCCGAUUCUAAGAAUAGAUACAUCCAUACUUGGGCAAAGAGAAGAAUUUAGGAAAAUGGAGAAGAUGAUAAGUAGAACAGUAGAACAUCACACAACUACAACGGAAGCACUCAAAACAGUAAUAGCUCAUCACAUGUGAUCGGCACGAUGGCUCGACAAAAUAAAUCAUUCUCCUUUAUACUGAAUGUCUUCAUAUUUUAUCAAUUGCAUUCAGAAUUACGAACACACAAGCACUGUAUGUACAACUUGACAAAUAUACAUAGCACCAUAUGUACAACUUUUGACUAAUAUACGUUAAAAAAAUCCAGCUUCUAUCAAGGCUAUACCUGAAAGAAGAUACAACAUUUUCAGUACAUUUGCGGUUCUAGCAUGCUUCCAUCAUGAAUCUGCUCUUCCUGAAGGUGCUUGAGGCCCUUUAUUCCUAAGGACCAAGGUACUUCCUUUUUAUGUCCACAAAAUAUCAACUUUCGCAUGACUCUCUACAGGUGAGAUUAGCAUUUCUAUUUGGCUACACUCUUCACAUUUCCUUACUCUUGCAUUGCUCGGUUUGAUCCUUGUCUUGCAAGCAUAGAUAACCAGUCUGAAGCCACAUGAGGGAAAUAAAAAAAACUCAUUCUUAACAAAACAAAAUUAUCAACCAAACUCAAGAGUUGGAUUGUGCCUUUAUCAUGGAGAUGGAAACAUUCAGGUGAGAGUCGACUAUAUUGAAUCAGUUUUAGUUGUACGUUUACUAUAUCAAUAGUUAUUGAUAGAUGUUGAAUGUAAUUUAGUGGUAAGUGCAGUACAAAGAUAUUCCCAUGGCGAGUGGGGUAAACAUAUUUCUACCAUGGCGAGUGGGGUAAACAUAUUUCUAAGUCUUGCAAAAAAUAAACACAACAUAGUCUAAUGGAUACUUUGACUUGUCAGAAAAUAAGUCACAAGAUGUAAAAUUGCAGCUGCUUCUUUCCAAGUUCUCCUCAUUUUUAUCCAUAUCUCUCGAGUACUCAAAUUUCAACUCGCACAAUUUCAGAAACUAUAGUGUUGUAUCAUGUAAACACAUCAGGUCCUCUGUUUUGCAGACUGUUCUAGGCUCAAUGCCAAGAAUCAAGCUUCAGAACCAGUCUUCUGGGGACUAUUGGUGAACUAAGCUGCUUGCAAAUGACCCAAACUUCACCACUGAGCAGGACCAACAACUUUACAAAGAAAAACUGGGUAUAGAUCGAUGUAAAUUUAUAUAAUUUUUCAAUAUAAACACUAAUGAAAUUUUUGUAUGGGCUCUUAAUAAAAAAAUUUAAAGAGCCUAGAAAAUUAUAUUAGUUCCGUUACUGCUAGAAGGGAUACAAAAAAAGGCAAAAUUAUUCUAUAAGAAACCUGUGGUCACUGCAAAUGAUACACAAUGAUCUGCUCAAAUUUCUGUAGGAGCAGGCACAAGGAUCCUUCAUUUAUAAUACCCUGCAUAAAUUUAAUUGUCCUUUUAUUCUUGAAUCGAUCUGACAACUCUGGACAAGAGGGAAGAUGUUCCAACACGGGAAGAUGUUCCAACACUACCUCAAGCUGCGCUGACCUGAGUGGUAAGGUUGACAGUAAUAGUCCAAGGAGGAACACAGGAGCCAGGAUUCGGAAUAGCUUAUCAACUUUUUCCUGGAAAUUCCACUGACAACUUGAAUGAAUUUCUCUGCAUAAUGCCCGACGUCCCAGUGGAAUGAACCAUGGCAGGAAGGAACAAAGCAAGCAAAUUGGCUGACACCGGCGCAAACGAAAAAGCACCUUGACAGCCACCGAGAGCAACAUAUGGAAGGUGGGGAUAUUUACCAAUCUGUAACAAAUUGGGAAACAUGCCAGUUAAACAGGUGAACUGAAAAUCUAUAUGCUUCUGUCACUGAGGUGGUAAAGAGUAAUUUAUGUUGUGUAUACCUGACCAACUGACAACCAGAGUUUGUUACAGGGUAUCAGAUGAAUAAGCAAAAAAUUUGUCAUUGCACACUGUUGAACAACUAGAAUUUGUAGAUAGAUAGGUCUCUUUAUCCUCACUCCAUAUUCUACUUUUCUGCCUACACUUCCCUCAAAUGAUAAGGGUGUUUGGCAUCGGUGGGUGCAAAUACCAAAUUAAUUUCUGACCAAGACAAUCAAUAAAAGUCUGCAGUGUUGGAAGAUGUCUAAAGAUGGCUCAUGAUUCUCAUAUACUUACUGAAAAAUUGGGCUAACCUUGAACUGAACGAAUCGAGACUUGCCUUCACCUAGUCAUAUGCGGCCGCUAAAAUUACAAGUACAGAAUAUGAAUACAGAGUGACACUUUGCAUCUUCCUUUUUGCACUGAUCAAAUAACAGUAUAAUGUCAGGAAAAAGAAUUCAUUAGGAGUUACCUUCAAAAGUUAAGCUUAGCGAAGAUUUGACAAAUUAACCAGAGAAGCUUGUUUCAUGUCAUUAAGAAAAUGGAAACUGGAACACGCCAAUGAUAUAUUAUUUAGCUCACAAAUCUUCAUGUCAUAAAAAAUGGAAGCGACAACCAAAACAAUUAGCAGCCUCUACGGAUCACAGCUGCAUACUGGAGAGCAGUUCCAAAACAUCAUGAGCAAUAAAUGUAACAAGAAAGCUACAAUACCAAGGCAAAAGAAAGAUAUAUCUCAGACUAUGCCCUUUGGUAAGUUUAAACAAUUGCUGUUCCCAAGCAAGUAGAAGAUACAAACUGAGAGCAAAGAUAUUAUAAAGGCCCAGCCACAAAAACGACGCAUGCGACUGACAGAGGGUCUGCAGCAGACGCAAGACGACAAGCAAACGAGGCCUGCGCUAUCGUGGAGCUAGGACGAAGCGCAAAACUAUCCCCUUUGGGAUUGAGACUUAUAUAAGCUCUGGGUCCUUUGGUGCCCUCUUUAUAUAAGCAGAGUACUAAACACAGAUCGACGAACUCAUUGGACGUCGAGAAAUAAUUAAGGUUAAAUAAUUCAUACCAACACGCUAAGAUAAGAAAUUGGCAUUGCCAAAAAUACAACCAAAAAAACAACUAGGUCCAAUCUUGUGUGCAAGGGCCGCGGUCAAGUGAUGAUGACGCGCUGACGUACAGUCCGAUGGCCCUUUCAGCAUUUUGUAGAAAACUUCUUCUAGCAGCCCCAAUAACCUAGCAAACUGUUCUUUCAACCCCCCCGUGAAUCCAAGUUUAUCUUUCUGAGAUCAGGCGUAAUCCAAACAGGAGCCGGAGAGUUGGACCAAAGCUGUGGAGGCACAAGUUCCUCCUUGCUGUUAUCAUCUAGGUUGAGAGUUCCCAUAUCACGGUGAUUAUUCUUACAUCCCGUUGUCCACAAGAAAUUAUCAUCAGUGAAGUAGACGUGAUUUGCCCUGAGAGACGGGUAUUCUUCAGCACCGAGACAGAGUGAUUGAUUAUGCCCAAGAAACAAAACAUGGUCACGCAAGCAAUUGAUUUCCUUAAGUUCACUUCCUGCAGCCUCAACUUCAUAUAUUCUGAACUCUGUAGUGUUCCAGAACACAGAUGCCCCAGGAUCAGGUUCUAAUUCAUAAUCCUCACAGAUUCUCCAAAUGAGCAGUAGACCACCCCAUGGAGCCUGGACAAUGUACGUGUACUCAUAAUCAUACUUCCUGGGUAUGCUUAUCAUCGUCUUCAUAACGACCACAGGGCCACUAAGAUCUAAGGUGUGAAGUUCUCCCAUUACAGACACUGCAUACAAAAGGCCAUCUUUGUACAUGCAAUCGCUAUAGUCUUCGUUAGGUGGCAGCCAGGUCCACUUAUCAUCCCCUACCCUCGCAAAUGAUAGCUGGAACAUUGAAUUAUGGAUGAGCACCACAAUGUAGCUUCCCGUGGAUGUAUCAGGGAACACAAACGCCUUAUAGUGGAGUACGUCCCGCAGCUUGUCAAGAGCAAAAAUCGAUGGUGAGUUAGAACCACGCAGUCCAGUGUGCCACGAGAACUCAUACUUGUGGAGAACACCGUACUGAUCAAAGAUGGGCUUCACCUGCUCGAUGGUGGUCACUGAAGGGAGAGCAAUCUGUUCACAUGUGAUGGGAUUGACAAGAUGCAUCUCAGAUCUUUCAUCAACAGUAACCAGCCAGCCAUGAGAGGACCCGAUCAAAUACCUAGUGCGGAUAGGUGGGUCGGGAAGAGUUAACUUGUACGAUCUCUUUUCGGUGAUGCUGUAGAGGUAAGCCGCGCUAUCAUCCGAAGAUUCAGAAGUGUAGAGCAGGCAUGGCGUCUGUGGGAGUUUAUACUGCCCAAGGCUUGUAAGGCUGGUAAAUGCAGAGUGCCAAGAGGGGCAGACAGCGCCGGCACGUAUGACGUCAGGGAUUUCAAGGGUGGCAAAGAUACCCAUCAAGACGUCCUGAGGCAGCUCCGGUGAUGUGCCCACGAUAGCCUCGGUCAAUGGUGGAUGGACAUCUUUGCAGAAUUUCUUCAGUGAACUGGGAGCGAAGCCUAGCAGCUUCAGCAAAACUCUCAAGGCUAUGGAGCACAGACGUGUCCGUUGUACAGCGAGACUCCCUAAGCUCAUUAUCGAGGCGACGCUACACAACUCCAUGGGAGCAGGGCCUCUCUGCAAAGAUCUUCGGCCAAACUCACAAAUUCCUCACGCAGACUCCUGGCUAAAUUUCUUCAGUAACGACUCCCUAAUUUCAGAGACCUGGUCGUUGCACAAACCUGGCAAAUUUCUUCAGAGGAAAGAGAAGGCCCCUGUCUCAACUUAUAUAGAUCACCCACGCGGAGGCGGAAUCCGUUACGAAUUGGGGAAGAUUAUGAAACGGGGAUCUAAAGGGCGGAAUCCGUUCGUAGGGUGAUGGGAGCGAGAGAAUCGAAGGGGAGAUGAACCUGCGGUGGAGGCGCUCGAGCGAGGAGGAAGACGAGCUAGGGGGCAGCGGGAUGAGAGACGGCGCUCGCGCGAGGAGGAAGAAGAUCCACGGAGCCAGGGGGCUGUGGGGCUCGGCGAGGAGACGGGGAGAGGGGUAUAGCUUUUCUUUUCUUUUUCGAGAGGAGCAGAGGGGUACAGCUAUAGGUGGCCAUCGCCCGGCCGGUCCAAGGUUAAACCGGUCGCCGUCCGAAGCCUGAUUCCUUCGAGCCACGGCACCGUAACGGUGAAAAUAACACGAUUACUCGUAAUGUUUAAGAAUACAUGUAUGAAAAAAUGUCAAACUCAUGUUAGAUGCCGUAACCCUUGCAUCAAGUUAAGACAAAUUAUUAACCGUUAUUAGAUGUACAUUGUUUGGUCCUUUAGGGUAUCUUCAAUAGGAGGUACUAAGCAGGUACUAGUUCUACGUGGCGAAGAGAUGAAGAGAAAAAGUUAGUACUAGUUACUUGUAGAAGUAACAGCUUGUGUACGGGUACCAAGAAUGAAAAGAGAAUGACAUGUUGAUCCAUUAAAAAAAGAAAAGAAUAAACAAAAGAAAGAGGAGAGAGAUGAAAAUUAGUAAUGGCUUGCUAUUGAAGAUGCCCUUAGAAUUUGUAUUUGCGUCUCUGUAUAAAAUAAAUCUGCAAAAUUUCAACUAAUUUAACUCUGAAUCAUUAGAGGCAGCGGUGCCAAUGACUUGCCAAUUGUGCAUUUUUUACGGGGUCUGAGAAACACGUUAUAGGAGGCAGUGGUGACGGGUCAAUUGUCGCCUACAUCGGUGGCGAAUCUUCGACGGCGACGCCCGUGUGAGGUGGUGUGUGUAGCGUUCCAACGUAACUUUGCGCAAUCGAUGACGAUAUAGCCUGCAAAGACUGGUUCUCCAAGAGACGCAACUUCUGCACUCUUAGUUAUUUUGGAUAUCUACUGUUGAUGUCCAUGUAUGAUUGCUCAUUGAUGUCUUAAUUGUCGUACCUUUACUCAUAUUUCUUGCUUAAUGAAAGUCGACAAGGAAAUUUUAUUACUUAAUAACAGUAGAUAUGAUAGCCAUGUCCACGUGGUGUAUUAUUGUUUUAUGAGUUCUGAUUUUGAUAGACUCACAUACUAUGUUUCACAUACUAUGCCACGCUCCUAAUUCGAGUAGAAGAAGCAAUUUCGAGUCCGGGAACGACACGGCGUAUCCAAGAUCUGAAAUUUCGGUUACUUGCUGAAGGAAUCCCGCUCGGUUUCUUCUUCAAAUCCUGGCCUCGCAAGCUAGGGGAUUAAUCCGCGGUAGGCAACCGGCGGCAGGCGGCAACGGUGAGCAGGGGAUUAAUCCGCUGAAGGAGGAGCACUACCCGGCGGCAGGCGGUAGGCAACACGAGGCGAGUUGGGGAAGGGUGGGUCUGCGUGCUGGGGAUUGAUUCAGUGGUGAUUUUUGGGAGCCGAUGCCGGCAACGGUGAGCUGCUAGGAGGAGCUGACGUCGACGGCGGUGGUGGUGACUGACGUGGUUAUGACUAAUCACGUAUUCAGCUCGAAGAUACCCGUCAUGGCCCACCACGGGGUCCAUGAGGUGGACGACUACAACUCCUGGAGUCAACAUGCCAAUCUCGACAACUCGAGAUAAGGAAGCUUUAAACUUAGCAUAUCUUACCAUUGUAAUGGGUUUGGACUCUCCCUGAGACCUAGACUCCUCCAUAUAUAAAGGACUAGGAGGGGGAGCCAAGAUCAUCGAACACCCACGAGCACGCAUCGCAUACAUCCAUCCUUGCCAGAUUAACUUUGCGCACCAUAGCCCCAGCGGCUCCAUUGUAAUCUCACCAUCAAUAUCAAUCUCAGACAAGCAGGACGUAGGGGUAUUACCUUCCGAGGGCCCUGAACCUGGGUAAAUCGUGUCCCUUGUGUCCUUGUUAGCCGACGGAGUCACCGAUACGCACGCUACGUGUCUUCUCCCUGAUCUAAAGCUCAUCAACAUGGGCAUUGUCGAAGGUAACCCCUCGUCAGUGACCUUGAGGUGAGUGAGAGUGGUAGACCGGCGGAGAUCGAGUUUGUUUUCUGCCCAUCGGUUAUUCGGCGAAUAUCAAUCGUGCGGCUAUUAAGCCGGCAAAAUGGAUAAAAAUAACCUAAAACCAAACUAUUUCACAAAAUAAACUCUUUGCGAAACUAUUUCACAGAAAUAACCCGACUAGCGCCUAACACCUAAGCGCUAUCCUAGAUAGGAUAGCUCCUUACGCAUAGGCGCUAUGCUACAUAGGAUAGCGUCUUUGUCGCAGGCGCUAUCCUACUGUGUUAGGCGCUAUGCUUCCCUGUUGACCGCUAUCCCAUCUAGCAUAGCGCCACUGUAUUGGGCGCUAGUCAAAAGGAUUAUUUUUUGUGAAAUAGUUUCACAAAGAGUUUAUUUCGUGAACUAGUUUCGCUUUUGGGUUAUUUUUAUCCAUAGUGCCGUAUUUCUCUGGCCGAGAAAAAGGGAAAUGGAAAAACGGAGACAAGGAUGAUGAUGAUGGGCUUUGGGCAGUCAAGCCGGACAGAGAUUUGGGCGGCUGCAUUGAAGCCGCUUUGUCUUCUUCUUCUUCCUCCCACAAGGCCACAGCCACAAGCUCGCCGUCGACGCCUCCGAUCCAUGGUUUGGGCCUUGAAGAAGAUGCAGAUCGAGAUGGCACAUCCCCGAUUCCGAGCUCAGUAUAUACCAAUCGGGUGCCUUCCAGCGGUGGUUGGCGAUGGUGUUGAAGUUCCUGGAGGGAUUGGUACGCUGAAGGCCCUGCGCACACCGGAUGUUGUCAACAUUGAACGGGGCAAGGGAAAGGUUACUCUGAUCGAGUUGAAAGAGCUCACUCAGCUGUGUAAGCUUGGAGUGACUGGUGUCAGCGGCAACAACAGCAAGGAGUUGUGGUCUGUCAUUGCUAGUCACAAUCAACUUCGAUCUAUGUCAAUGAAAUGUGUGGGCAUUCUGAACGAGUUGGAUGGUAGUUUGGAUGAGGGUUUGUUGCCACCAAGCUGCCUGGAGAGCCUCAAGCUGCAGGGCAAGCUGGUCAGAGUAACCUCAUGGAUCCAUCAGCUUCAAAAUCUCUCCAAGUUGACGUUAGUGUGUUCCAGUUUGAAGCAAGACUAUACCAUACAAGCCC
rnacentral:lncRNA from 1 species